UUCGUCAUGCUGCCUGGGAAGCACUAGAUUUUCUUUUUCCGGUUAGUAUUAUCAUUAGUAAUUAAAGCACUACAUUUUCUUUUUCCGGUUAGUAUUAUUAUUACUUAAUAAUUAGUAUUCAAACCAAAUUAUAACAAAUUGCAAGAGCUUUGUCCUCUCCUGCCCCAAAUGCCUUUUUUCACUUCAAAUAUUUUUAGGUCCCAUCAUUGUUAAAUACUUGACUUUUAUCAAAACCUUUUUAAGUUUUAUAGGUGGGAUUAUAUGACUAGUAAACUGUUCAAAUUUCCAAUAGAUGAAGGGAAACAUUGAUGGCUUUUUAAAAUGAUUUCAUAGAAUCUGCACACAGAUGAUGUGUUUUUCCCUUUUAGCUUUUUUAACUUAUUUCUGAAAGGGUGGAUUGUUUAUGUAUAUGCCGUAUAGUUCAUAGUUAAGAUAUUAAUAUAGCACUAUUGAUAAACAAGUGUAACAUCUUAACUCAUAAAUAAAUAUUAAUGUUGAUUUUCUGCUAUGAUGCAGGUUGGGCAAUACCCUCGGCAUCUCAUAAGUCUGUUCUUCAGGUUGCUCUAUCCAUGGUAUUGGCCAUCCUCUUGUUGGAACUUUGUGGUUUCGUGCAUUCAUGCUAUCUUUUACUCCUUACUGAGGUUGAUAUUUUCUACGUGGGAAAAAAUUGCCAAACCAAAAACCCAAUAAAUGUCCAUAUGUCCUGAGGAUAUUGGAGUUCAUGCAUAGAACCCGGGUCAUCUCUUGCCAACCGCACGAUCGCCUUCUCUGAUAUUUCUUUUUUCCACUCAAUGUGAUGUGUAUAAAGCAAGUUGUUAGUGCAAUGUAUAUUUUGUUCAGUUUGUUCACUAUGUCUUAGAAUAGGUUUACAAGUCCAAGUAAUAUAACGUGAAAAGACCACUGAAAACAACUAAACAAGGAACUGCGAUUCAUACACACUUUUCUAUAAUGCUGUGAGAGUAAGAUUGUGUAUGAUUUUAAGAUCGAACAUUUGUUACCUGCCAUAGCUACUGUCUGAUUUUGGUCUCAAUAGUUGUGAAUGACUUUAAUCUUCAGACCUUUUUCUCAUUACUGUUGAUUUUUCCCCACCGCGUUUCUUCUACCUAGAACGCAAUUACUGUCUACAAUUUAUGUUAUAAAUAUGUUUAAUUUAAAAUGGGCUAAUUAAUUAUCUAUAUGGAAGUGUUUUAAAGUUAAUUAAUUAAAGUAGCCUUUUCAUUUGGACUUUGAUUUAUCUGACCUUGAUUAGUUUGUACUACAGAGUAGUUCAUCUCAAGUUCAUGAAUAGAUCCUCUACGUCAUUUAUUCCGAAGAGUGUGAAUCCCAUCUGCUAUGCGUUUAAGUCAACUAUAGUGUCUUUUCAAUUGAGAAUUGCAAAGAGGCUAAAUAGGAUGUGUUAAAAGAGUUUUUCAAUUCACUUUUUUAUUUGCAUAAAUCCAGUAAAAUAUAUUUUCAGUAGUGUAUUUUCUGUAAAAAUACAGAAAUGUUCUAUGUUAAAUUAGAUAGAACUACAUAAACCCUAAUCUUAAAGUGUUGCAAGAGAGACUAUUCUCUAUGAUUUGGAAUCAUGCCUUCACAAGAGGGAAAAUAAAAAAAAGAAAACUAGCAUCUGUUGGAGAAAAAAACUAAGAAAACAAAAUCAGAGCAUUAAAUUACAGAUUGAAAUUGUUUGAUAAACUUGAUAGUCACCCUUUGUGCGCAUAACCCACUCGAAUGCGCCUGCCAUCUACGAUCUGAUAAAUUCAUCAUGAAGAACAUAACAAGAUUCAUAACAUACUAUCACUGUAAAUAAAAAUGAAAGCAAGAUUUAUGUGACCUUGAUUAGUAUUACAGACCGAAGAGAAUAACGAAUGAGAAGUGUGUGAAUCCCCUCUGCUAUGCGUUUAAGUCAGCUAUAGUGUCUCUUCAAGUGAGAGUUGCAAAGAGGCUAUCUAGGAUAUGUUAAAAGAGUUUUUCAAUUCACUUUUUUAUUUGCAUAAAUCCAGUAAAAUAUAUUUUCAGUAGUGUAUUUUCUGUUAAAAUACAGAAAUUUCCUAUGUUAAAUUAGAUAGAACUACAUAAACCUAGUUGCAAGAGAGAUUAUUCUCUAUGAUUUGGAAUCAUGCCUUCACAAGAGAGACUAAAAAAAAGUAAACUUGCAUCUGUUGGCAAAAAAAAUAAAAAAUACUACGAAAACAAAAUCAGAGUAUCAAAUUACAGAUUGAAAUUGUUUGAUAAGCUUGGCAGUCACCCUUUGUGCGCAUAACCCACUCGAAUGCGUCUGCCAUCUACUAUCUGAGAAAUUCAUCAUUAAGAACAUAACAAGAUUCAUAACAUAAUAUCACAGUGUAAAUAAAAAUGAAAGCAAAAUUUGUAGCAAAAGUGAAUUGAUAUCCAAUACCCAUUACCUUUCCGUGCAAUUCUUUGCGAGCUGUGGCAGCUGCAGUUUCAGAAUUGAACCUAACAAAUCCGUACUCUUUUGAUUCCCCAGUCUUGUGAUCACAUAUAACUUUAACUACGCAAAAACACUAAUUAGUUGCAACAUUACAAAUUUAGGGAUCUAAAACAUUUGAAAAAUUAUUGUUAGUUUUACCUUCAAUGAUUUCCCCAUGUCGUUCAAAUGUGUCUCUUAGGACCGUUUCAUUCGUGUUAUAGGAAAGCCCUUUGUUCCAAACAAAACCAAAAAUUAAAUUUGAAUAGCUGAAAUCAACUUCAACAAUAAAACUUAUAUUUAAAAAAAAAUGAAACGAGUUGGAGAAGAUGAAACCUGCGACGAACAAUUUGGUAGAUGAAUGAUGGCGCACGCGUAGAAACAAUUGAGGUAAGGGUAAAGCUGAACAUUGGAGAAGAAGAGUUCUAUUAUUCGCUAUGCGCAUAACUAUGAGUUCGCUUGAUAAUGAAAAUACUGCAUAAAAUGACUUUUUUUUCCUUCCUUACCUUUUUAUUUUUAUUUUUAAUUCCCCCUAUUCUGAAAUUAAAGCUAAUGGUUGGCCAAGCUAUUGAAGGUAGAUUUUUUUUUUUAAUUUAAAUAUAUUUUUAGUAUUAUUAAGAAUUCUAAUAAAUAAUUGAUACUGAUAAUGAAAAUAUAUCUUUCAUGUAAUGAAAGCAUAUAAAUCACGCAAAUUCACAAUGAUGACAACAUAAUAGAUACUGAUAAUGAAAAUAUAUGUUUCAGGUACUAUUAUAGAAUUGUAAUCCUUAUUCGUGAUUUCUGACGAUGUAUCACAAUUGGUUAAACAUUAUUAUCAAAUUAAAAUAUAUAUUCCAAGUAUAUAAUUGAAUUUAAUACUUUAUAAUAUUGUAAAAUUAAAAUAAUAAUAAUUAUAAAUCAAUUAUAAUUUAUCAUAUUUAAACAUAUUUUUCUGAAAAUAUGUGAUUAAAGAGUAUAUUUUAUACAUGUGAAAAAUUAUUUUUCACUAAUGUAAUUAAUUAAUUUAAUUUUUUUUUCUAUUUCUUAAAUAAAAAUAAUUAUAAUUAUAACAUUAUAAAAAAUAUAUACAAGAUACAUAGGAUGUGUUUGUUUCAAGUUUAGAAGUAACAUUCCUUGGAAUCUUAUUCCCAUCAUUAUUAUUACUUGGAAUAAUAUUCCUAUCCAAGUGUUUGGUAAAAACUAAAUUUCCUAUGAAUGUUUAUAAUAUUUAUUUAAUUUAAAAAUUAUAAAAAAUAAAAUAAAUAAAUAAAUGUGAGUAGCAGUGGGGAGUUGUAAUUAGUUGAAUUUUUUUCCCAUGGAAAUGUUGGAUUCCCACCCUUUAAACCUUGGAAUAAAAAUAAAAGAACCAUGUGAAAAUAAAGUUCCUGGGAAUAAAAUAUACUUUGGAAUAAUUUUUUAAAAAUUGAAUCAAACAUGAGAAUGUUGCAUUCCCAUAACAAUAUUCCCAGGAAUAUUUUUUAAAACUUUGAAACAAACACACUCAUAUUUGUGGUUAAAGAAUAAAAUUAAUGUCUUUAUUUCAUAUUGUCAACAUAAAAAUAAAAUGAAAACUUAUAAUCUACCGACUACUAUUUUUUCACACUUUAAAUUUUUAAAGCUAUUUUAUUUGAAAAUGAGUUAUUAAAAAAAUCGUGUAAGUGUAAAACUCAUACAAUGAAAAAAAGAUAGGGAUUGUGAUCCAUGGUUUGAAAUCACAAGUAGGGAUUGUAAUUUUAUAAUACUAUCGGGAAAAUAUAUUUUGAUUACUGGUAUCUACUAUUUCGUCUGCAUCGUGAAUUAAUGUGAUUUAUAUGUUUUCAUUACCUAAAAUAUAUGUUUUCAUUACCAGUAUCCACUAUUUAUUACAAUUAUUUAUAUGUUUAAUUAAUAUAAUUAUAAUUUUAUUCUUAAAACAAAUAUUUAAUUUACAUAAACAUUAUUAUAAAAAACUAUAAUUUAUAUUGUUUAAAUAAAAAAAUUAUUAUAAAAUUAUUUAUUAAUAAUACUAAAAAUGUAUUUAAAUUAAAAAAAAUCGUUCCUUCGUUAGCUCGGCCAAUCAUUGGCCGAGUCCAUACUACAAAAAUAUUUCUUUCAGCAACUCGUCCAUCCAUUGAACGAGUCAAUAUUACAAAAAUAUUUUUUUCAGCAACUCGUCCAUUCAUUGGACAAAUGGAUACUAAAAAAAUGGUAUUUUGAAAAUUUAAUUUCAGAAUAGGGUAUAUAAGGAAUACAAAAUCAAAAAAGGGAUAAGAAAGAAAAAAAAUGGCAUAAGAUCUUACAAACAACGCUUGAUAAUAUAAGUAUUGUUCAUCCAACCUAAGUUAUAAACAGAAAAAAAUGAGUUGUAGGGAUGGAUCUUAGGGCAAUGACAUGAGUGGUUGAGAUGCGGCAUCGUCAGAAAGGGUGGUAUAUUUGUAAGGACUUCAACUCAUAUUUAAAUAAUUUAUAUACUCAUUUUUUAUUUCAAUGGUGAAAAAGAGAUUUUUUUUUCUAAAAUAACUAACUUUUUCAAAUAAAAUAGGAAAACAAUUGAGGUAAGGGUAAAGCUGAAAAUAAUCAUCAGUUGCAAUAAUUUGAUAGUUAUUUAGGAAGAAGAUUAAAUGCAUAAUUUUAAAGUGCACAAAGUUAAGAAUACAUAAUUAUAAAAGUUUCUCUUAUCAACUUAAAGUCUAUGCUCUUAGUGAAUUUCCACUAUGCUUAGAUUCUUGUACAAGUCUUUAUAAUGAUCAUUUUACAACAUUCUAACACACACUUGAAGAAAGAACGUUACUUUCUCUUUUACAAUCACUUAUGACCACAACUUUGAUGACUAAGUUACAUACACAAUUUUGUAAAUGAAUUUGAAGAAGUUUGAUUCUACUUUUAAAAAAUACUAAAAAUCAAACCAAACCUAAUCAAAGGAGAUAUCAUCGGUUCGAGUAAUGUUUUGAUAGAAAAAGAUAUUUAUUUAGAUAAAAUAAUUAAAUAAAUAAAAAUUAAUUUUAUUUAUUUAUAAUUUAUAAAAGGAAAACUUUUAUUCUUAUAAAUCGUUAAGGAGAGAAUAGAUUGCUCAUAAUAAAACACAAAAUUAUUCAAAGUAAUAUCGUUGGAAAUAUUUCCAUGACCUAUGAAGACGUGAACGUCAUUGACAUGGGAUAAUUAGAGUGCAUAUAUAUUAAUGAAAGUAGAAACAAGAACAAAAUUCUAAGUAUACCUCAAUAUUAUUGAUAUGAAUUGGAAAAUAUUAUCUUAGUUACAAAGAGAAUAGGAAGAUGAGAAAAUAUAAAAUAACUAACAAAUCUACUAAGCAACAGAAAAUAACAGUUAACGUUUGCUAUUUCAAAGAAAGAAUGAAUUAAUGUUUUUAUAUUACUUUUAGUGCUUUUUCUGUUGUCGUUGUAGUGAUAUUUGAUCUUCCACAUGAAUUGCUAGCGGUAGGAAUAUGUCAUUGUAAACGUAUGCCGUUGUGGUUACACAAUUUCAACUAGUAGACUGCCUUAGGAAUUAUGCUGUUGUGGUUACACAAUUUCUACUAGUAGACUGCCCCCUGAUGUUUUAAUAUUGACUAAGAUUUAAGGUCAUUUUUCUUAUAAUAAUGAUUAACAUUUAAGAUUAUUAUUUUUAUUUAUAAAAAUGAUUUGGGGUAUUAGAUUUGAUCUAUAGGAAAAAAAAGUUAAAUUUGAAUUUUAUCUAUUAUUUGUUAUGAUAUUAUUUGUAUUUAUUUUUAUCAAACAAUUACGAGUUUGAAAGUAUGUGAGAUUAAAUUGAAAAUUUUCAAUAGUAAUUUUGUGCAAACACCGUUACAAGAAAAUAUGUACAGUAUAUGAAAUGAUUAUGAAUGUUUGUGCACAGAAAGGAUAUAGACAGACUUUAAAGACAAUAAAACUUGAAUUAAAGUAAAAGAAUUUUGCAAUAACCAACAUUAAAUGAAUGUUGUAAAUGACAAAAAGAAAAGAUGUUUCAAUUAUGGAAACAUAAAGAAAAUACAAUGUAAGAGAUGCAGACUCACAUAUCACUCACAAAUUGUUUCACUCUUUAGCUUGGGUACUCUAAUUCUAUAGAGAAAGUAUAUGAAAUUUGCGAUCUUGAUUACAACAUAUGAGACUGCUAUAUAUACUAAACGAAAAAUCUAUGUUUCCGAUAAUUUCCUCCUAAAGAAUCGACACGUCUUCAAAGACAUGUAACUUAUUCCUCUGAUGCAUUACCACGUCAUCAGUACUAAAAAUAAUCGUUUUUGACAGUUUCCCAAUGCAACAUUCAGUUGACUUUUUUUCUUAAAUGGAAAUUUCAAGCUAAUAUAUGUCUCCCCAAAACGUCACUUUCGAUCAUAUGGUCGGAUAGAAGAAAGGUGUUUUUUGGGUCCAUCGACACGGUUUACUUAGUCUACACACGUCAUCUCAAAGAAACAUCUCAUUAUUUAAUUAUUAUUAUUUGGUCAUUAUGACCACUUUACACCAAAACAUCACGUCACAGACGUGCGUACAAUUGAUCAUGAUCACUCUCUAUUUCCUAGAAGAUUAAUUAAAAAUGAAAUCAAGACAAACUUUUUUAAUUCAAUUUUUCAUCUUUCCCAAUUCCCUCUCAGCGACAUCUGUCGACUAAACCAUUUUCAUCCUUUGGGUAUUUAAGACGUUCCCCCUUAGCGUCCUCUUCUCUCUCACCAUUUCCAUUUUUUGAAACACAAUUAAAAAAAACCUUGAGAGUUUUUUUUUUUGCAGUUCUUUCUUCUUCUCCACUACGCUUCUCUUCAAGAAACUGUUGGAAUCAACAAUGGCACCCAAAGUUCAGUCACAUCCUCAUUUUGUUGUUGUCAUUGAUUGACCAAUCUACUUAAAUGACCUUACCUACAUUCCUGAAUCUCCCAUGGAGGAUAGAAGAAGAAACCUCUAGUAUCGUGCUUCUUUAAUCCCCUACUCCAUUGGUGGUACCGUUCAUGCGUUUAUGUGUCCUCUCCCCAGGCACAUCAAGAAACCCCACAUGUUGAAAUAUUUCUUCCUUAUUUUCCUUGAUUACGAACCCUUGGUGUUCGUGGAUGCACCUUUUGAUUUAAACUUCUUUAAGAAUAAGGUGUUCCAUUCUUUUCCUCUGAUUGAGGAUACUGAUUACAUCAAAUGGUUGGACAUGGUCCACGAUAAGAAGAUGCACUUUUUGAGGGAUUUGGGAAUUUUUGACCUAAUCCAAAUAUCAUGAGUUGCUCCUAAAUACAACUCUCACAUGCUCAUUGCAUUUAUGUGCUUAUAGGAUACAUCAACCAACAUGUUUCACCUUCCUUGUGGGAUGAUAACUGUCACACUCUUCUUAGACAUUGUUGCUAUCGUCAGUCUUCGACCAACUGGAGAGGCCUUUGUUCCUUCAACCAAGACAAAAAUAAAACUUGGUUUUACCUUCCAUAGAAAUGCUUACAGCUCCUUUAUCAAGGAUAACCAGGGUUCAACAGAUCAACAUAUGAUCUGGAACAUAUUUGCUUUCUUGACUUACUGGCUUUCCAGGAAUGUCUUAUACGCUCUAUUUAUUCAAAUGGCAAAGAAGUAAGUCCCUUUAGCCACCUAACUUCAUGAAGGGAGACAGAUCUUCCUUAGUAGGUUAAUUUUGUGUGGUAUGUACGGAUCUAUAGGGUUGGCCUCCGAAGACUUGAAGAACAAGACGAAUUAUGUUAGCCUUUAGAUAGGUAGCCAUAUAUGGCUUCUUUAAUUAUUUCUCAAUGCCACUUUCUAACCUUCCUUCAAGACUAGAGUGCAUCCUAGCUCAAAGGUGGGAUUCAAUGGUCAAAGGCUUGCAAAACUUACUCCCGGUGAUGGGAAGGUUGCGUCUUUGGAGGUUUCCGAGAGUUACUUCCAAAUGUUUCAUAGGUGUGUAGCACCUCAAAUUUGCACCCUACCUUUUGUACAUACAUUCUCAUAUUAGGUCAUUAAAAUAACAAAGCCCAUUGCAUAACAUUGCAUAGCCAUUUGCCCAAGUGCAAGUUCUUCAGAAGAAUUAGGUCAAACUGGUCAGGAGAUCAGGUCAAACAAGCAAGCAUGUGCCAUUUUCAUUGGGACAAAGCCCUAGAGUUGAUUUAUCAAGUUCAUAUGGUCUAAGGAUCAUUUUGAAGUGAUUUGGCCAAAGGUUGGAUGAUCAAAGCUCAAUAGUCAAGCUGAAUUUCUUCAGAAACCCUAGAAAGUCAACUGUGGUCAACUGUGCCUGAUUUUAUGGAUUGGAAGGGGUGAGAUGGUUUGAAAGGCCUCAUUCAUGUCUAUAUAAGUCUCAUUUGACAUAUCAAAGACCAAGGUUGAAGAUUUGGAGGUCAGACAAGAAGUUUCCAAAAAUAGCAGGUGACCUGUAAUUUCAACUGCCCAAAAUGGAAAGUUUUUCUCCUCAAAAUUACUUCAUCAUACAAGCUUCAAAUGGAAUUUUGUCCAACAUGAAAGUUGAAUAUCUUGAUCUCAUCAUUCCAAAAAGUCCAAGAACUUGAAUUCCAUGUGUGGUUGCAAGUAUGGUCCAUUCAUUUUCAGAAAAUGCUCAAAUUCAAGUGCAUAACUUUCACAUGAAAGGCCAAAUUGGUUGAUUUUCUUUUGAGCAACCCCAUUUCAUAUGGACUUUACAUGUGCAUCUUCAUUUCAUCAAAAAUUAUCAUAGCAAAAUGGCAUUUUUUGUGAAUUCAUUUGGCAUUUUUUGGUGUGAAAUAGUGAUUUCAAAAUUACAAGCCAUAUGCACUUGGGACCUUUUCAUACACAUCACAAAUAUCAUUUAGAACUUGUGUGAACUGGUUUUGGACUGAUACAUGGACUGCAUAAGAAAAAGGGCAUUUUGGCCAAAGUCAUGAAAAUGUGCUACACUAAUCAUUCCAAUUUGCUUAAUUGAGAUAAAUUUUGGAUUAGCAUGAGGUAUAAAGAGAUAAUCAUAACUGUUUCUCAUAUCACAUCUCAUUUUUUCAAGAUCCAAAAGAAAAUCUCAAAAUUCUCUCACUUUUCUCCACUUUCACAUACACUAUUUUUCAUCAUUUCAUCAAGAAUUCAUCAUUCUUUUGCUUUCUUUCGUACUAAUCAUCACUUGCAGGUAGAAUAGAAGAUUUGUUGAAAGCCAAAACUUGGAAAAAACUGGAAAAUCGUGGCUGUUGCAUUUUGAAGUUCCACAUGGCAUUUGAAGAUUCAAGCUGAUCCAGGAGGUUCUGAGCUAAAGCAUCGGUUACAUCCACUCCUACAUCAUCAUACUGUUUCUGUUUUGGCAUUAGAGAGCUAAAUCCACCAAAUUCCACAGCUGCCAUCACAAAGGUUGGAAUUCGAUUCUUACCAUUCUCAAAAUCAUGAUGUGGUUCUUGUAGAUGUAGAUCAUAGAGCGUAGUGCAAGUCGUAGAUUGAAAUCCAUUAAGAUUUGAGAGAGAAAUCUUGAUUUGAUUUUUGAUGUGAAACCUAUUCUGGAUCGAUCCGUUAUGUACAUUAGGAAUUAGGAAAUUUCAUGUGGAUUGUGAUUGUGCUAGCUUAGACGGUUCCAACGGUGUAUGAUUUGUUGAUUUGGUUGCAAUUUGUUCAUGUGUGAUUUCUGGAAUUUUCUUGAUGAAUAUGAGGAGGAACAACUCAAGAACACGCGUUUGAUCCAUUUUUCUGUGUUUCCAUUUGAAUUUCGUGUUUGCCGUGAGAAGAGCCAAUAGCGUGCUGCCAUGCAGUUUAAUGAAACUGCAGCGUUUGAUCCCUGGUCCAGUAAUUACGAAAAUGCCACGCGGUUCAAUUAAAUUCAUUUUAAAUGUUAAAUAAAUUUCAUUUCAUCAAUAAACUUCAAAAAAUCAUAAUUAAAUCAUUUUUUAUCCAAAUUGAGUGGGAAUUUUUGUGUUGAUCUCCAAAAUUUCAUCUAGUUUUUUUAGGUAAUGAUAGUCAAGUUGUGCUGGUGAAUUUUUUGACUUUGCUAAUGUCUUUGAUCAUGUAUGCAUUGAUGUAUGUUUCACCAUUUCCUUCAUAAAAUAAUGAUGCUUGCUCAAAAUGAAUAAAAAUUUCACAUGCCUUGUUAUUGACUCAUUCCUGGUGAUUUUGAUGUAUAAUUUGCUGUUUUUGAGUUUAUGGUUUGAAGAUAUGAUGUGCCAUAGUUGAGUGUGACAAUGUGUGUCACACUAUGUUAUGUUGUGUUCAUGAAUUUUGUUGCCAUGUUAUGCUUGCCAAUUGCUCUCAAUUUUGCAUGUGAUAUAUGUAUAUGUCUAGUUUUGCCAUGAUUUUGUAGGAUUGUUGAUCCAUUUCCUAUUUGAUUGGGAUUUUUGCUUGCUGUUUAGACAUUUUAGGGUUUUCUUGAGUGAUGCCUUCCAUGCCUUGUGAAAUUGUCAACCUUAUCAUAUGAAGAUGAAUUUUGAUGGAGUGAUUCUUAACAUGUUCCAUGUCAUUUGGUUUUGGUCUCAUUCAUUUCUCAUGUUUUGGCACUGUUUUACAUUGCUUGAAGUGAUGCUUAUUUGCUAUCAUGUAUUGAGCUUGCUUGGAUUUCUGUUGACUUUAUGAUUUUCAUUGGCCUACUUCCCUUUGUCCAAUGAGCUGAAAUUUGGUAUGCUUAACAUGUUAUGGAUGCUGUGUGAUCUUGAUUUUUUUGAGAAUUUAUUGAACUGUUUUGAUGUGGAUUUGAUUGUGCUCAUUCUGUUUGGUCCUUUGAGGUUCCAAUUUGCAUGUCUUGUGCUAUUUUGCUCAUGAAAUGAUAAUGAUGAAUGAUAUGAACAGGAAACCAAUUGUAUUCUCCUCUUAAUUGAUUUAUCUUGGUUUUGAUCAUUUUUCACUUGCUGUUUUGGAUUUUUCAUUUCAUUUUGGCCCUAGUCUUGGACUAGUGGUUUGUGAUCUCACUUUUGAGUUGUGUUUCAGGUUAAUAGCACAAAUGGCCUAUGCUUAAUGAUGUGCUUCCAUUGGAGUUGACUUGUGACUUGUAUAUAGCUAAUUUUGACUUUGUUUUGCAGGGUUUGAUAUUUGGGUUUGAGCCUUAAUGGCUUGCACUUUGGUGCAUUGGCUUGUGUUUGUCUGUGUAUAGCUAAUUGUGAACCAUUUGUUGUUUAAUUCUGUGAUUGGUAUACUGAUUGUAUUUGAUUGAUUUCAGGUACAUUAGUUGCUAAUAUUGCUUUGCUUUGCUUGAUAAGCAAUUUGCACUGAGGUAUAACAUUCUUGUCUCCAUGUAGUCUGGAAGACCUGGCCUGUUACUUGGCCAGGCACCUGUCUGAAGUCCUCCUUAAGAGGCGAUGUUUGUGCCUGUUUACUUUUUGUCCCCAAGCAGGAAAAGUCCUUGAUUAAGGCAAUUGGAGGAUAAAAGAGAUAAGCAAUCUAUCUCCCGCUAGUCUGUUGAGUCAUCCCUUUGUUCACACCACUGUGUUGAUGCAUUGGGAUACAAACCCAAGAUCUUGUACAGUUGUACAGUUGUGUCAGAGUCUUAAGUGUAGAAGGGUUCCCACUUUCUGAACCCACGCUCCUUUGUCUGAAGCUCUCCCUGACCAGGGAUAAGAGCUGUGAAGUCUUAUCUUCACUCUCCUUUCAUCAGCUUCACCUUGGCUCUCAAUGUCAAGGUUAAGAGCUAACACCACCCCUAUACAAAUGACUUGCUCUUGCAGUCUUACCCUUUGAUUGAGCCCCCUUUGUGUGCAUAUAGUGUGUGCUACUUGUGAAUGCUUGAUUUGCUGUUUACUUGUGUUGAAUAGGAUAGGCUUGCUUCCUGUGCAAGUUAGCUAGAAACCUUGACUUAGGGACAUUCUGCAGAAACAUCUAGGCUCGAGUUGUCCCUAGUUAUGUCUCCUCUGUUAUCUGGUAGGCUAUCUUGUGUCCCUUCAUAGGGGAACUACGUCGCCCUGAUCCUCAUACAGAUGAGGUAACGUAGCAGAAGAGAGCAGAUCUCUUCCGGCGCUGUGCUUUGUUUUGUGUUGUUGUGUGCUUGAAGCUGAUGUAAGUCCAUCGAGUGCGUUCGGUUCCAGUGUGGGUUGUUUGGUUCGGAUCUGAUGUAAGCCAGUGUUGGCAAUUCGCGCUCCCGUUGCCUUCUUGUGUGUGUUUUGGUUCGGAUGCUGACGUAAGUCACAAUAUUGCAUCAAGGCUCCACGUUUUGCCUUGCCUGUGUUUGUUGUGUACGUGUUAGUCGAGCUAUCGGAUGCUCUGAUUCUCCUCUUCAAAGGAGAUACUAAAUGUGCAUCAGGAUGCGACAUCCUAGCGAGCAUGUGUCUUUCCCCAUCCGAACUCUUUGACUCUGAUGUCUAAUGCCUGAGAUAGACUAAGUAGCCCAAGGAAUUGCGAUAUCCCUGCCGAGUCUGUCUUGUUUUCUCUUGUGUCUCUUUCAGCAUUUUUGUGGUGUCGGGUGAGCAGCUGUUUUAGCAACCAUUUUCCCUUCUUAUUGGCGGGAUUCCCGCCGAGUACGACGGGAUGCGUAGGGUGACUAAUACCUUUCCCUUCGCAUAAACCGACUCCCGCGAUCCAUUCCUUCUUGGUCGCGAGACCAUGCUUUUUCCAGGUUUACUCUGAGCGUUUCCUUUCCCUCUUUUGGGAUAAAUAACGCACGGUGGCGGCUCUGUUGUUCUUGUUUUCCCGCCGGUUUUUCGCGUAAUGCGACAAGGUACAAUACAUUGAAUUCGAUUAUGGCAUCAUUUUUCAAUUGACAAUGUGGUGCCAAAUGGUUCAGGAAACCAAGAUAUUUGUGUUAUCUUUGUUGAUGAAUUGUGAGGCUCACCGUGAAGCUUUGCAGAAAGUCUUAGAACAAUGUUGUACCCCAAAAUUUACCUUAUUCUUUUUUGACCUUAUUGGCUUAUGUUUCAUCAUCAUAUACAUUAAUGCAUAUCAUUAGUUCUAUGUUUUUGAGACCAGGACAUCUCUCUUGUGACUUUCUUCAAGCUUUAGAAGGAAAAGUUGUGACAAUCAAUGAAAAGGAGGUUGAGCCAUUAUCAACUUCAUGAUAAUUCAAGCUACAAGGGUUUUCUUAUACCAUAAGGCGUCUCAAAUGGUCCAUUACUUCAUCAGUUGAUUGAGAAUUGUAAGAGAAUGGAAGUUAAUCACAUUAUCCUAUCUUUUGGCCCUUGAGCUAGGAAUGUUGAUUAUCUUAGUAUAUGGCAUACCCAUGGACCACUUUUGAAUCAUCUUCAUCAUAUUAUCAUACAAGACAUCAUUGUUCCAAAGUUUUUCCACUUUCCCUAGAAGAAUCAAAGUUUUGAAGAUGUGCACUCCUAUCUUAUCACUUUUGACUGAAAUUAGGGUUUGUGAUAAAAUCAAUUUAUUUAUGGCUUUUCGAGCAAGACUUAAUUCCAUGGUAUUCUAUGUGUCCCUAAGUGUCUGUGUGUAGAAGAUUGGUCAUCAAUUCCAUUCAUAACAGGUUUAAUUGCUCAGUUGAUUAUUGGUUUGAUUAAAUUAAGGAAAAGUCAACUAGGCAGAUGAAAAAGUCAACUUUUGACUUUUUUUGGUCAACUUUGUGUUCCACAAGUAAAAUAUGGUCUAUGGUUGGAAUUUUGUCAAGAAAAAGUCAAGAGAUUUAUCAAAAAUCAAGAAUUUGUGGAAAGUUGCUUAAAUUGGAAAUUAGGGUUUCGAAACUUACUAUUUUUAGCAAGUUUGGUGUUAAUAAGCAGCUACUUUCAUCACCACUUUUCUCCUUGAUCAAGACACCAAAUCAAGUUGACCUUAACAUGAAUUUUGUUCUCCUUUCUCCAAGAUUUAAGGAGGUACCAAUAUUGAAGCAUUUAUAUCAUCAUAACUUAAGAUAUGGUCGUUGAAAAUGGAGUAUUUCAAAUUCAUUCAUUUGUCCAAAGACUAUAAAAAUUUCUAAGUAUCCUAGGUCAGGAUUCCCAAGCAUGUUCAUGGCAGUUUUUCAGGACCUUAGAGGCUCCAUCUCAAAUUGUUUCCAACAUGUAAGAUUGAGUAUUAAGUCUCCUCUUUCCAUUGAGCCCAAGAUCAAGUCAUUUGGAUAGUCACAACUCAAGAUAUCACUAUCACAAGUCAUGACUUUGGAUUGGUUGAUUGGCCCCUACACUUAGUGAAAAUUUUCUAAGUAUUUGGUCAUUCCCAGCCACCUACUUCAUGUCCCAUUUUCACAAGGUUACAAGUUUCAUUUGGAUUCGACCUCAACAUGAAAGUUGUAAGGCAUUAUCUCCUCUCCACUUUUGCUUCAAACAUUUUCUUAUUUUGUAGCCUGAGGAACAAGUUAUGGACAUGGCAAGAUAGGUCCUCAGAUUGACCUACAAUUGGCACUUUGACAUGCAGUUUCAAGCAUCCGUCUUUGCGCCCACUUUUAAUGGACUUCAAGGCUUUGUUUCAAUUCUCUUCCAACAUGAAAUUUGUUCUUCUCAUUGCCCUCUUUCCAAAAAGCUUUAGUCUGUUCCAUUUAGUCAAAGAACCAUGGAUUUGUGAUGGCUUGAACAUAUCCGACCCUUAAUUUCAUUUACCAUGUUUAUCUUUGGUUUUGCGCAUGUUACCAUCAUCUGCUCACAGAAUAUCCAUUUCACACAUUAAUUACACCUCAUUCCUUGCUUCUUUUGGCCAAGCACCAUGCCUUUCCAUGCAUGUGUACCAUGCAUCAAAGUUACCAAAUAGGGAAAAUGUUCCCUUUGUCCAAACUUUCUCCAUCCACUCUCUCUCCCAAGCCACGAGUUCUGCCUCUUUCCCACUCUAUUUCAACUCCUUAAAAUGACAAAAAAAACUCACCUCAUUGCCAUAAAAAAUGCAGGAUGCACACCUCACACUCUCUCAUUCUGAUUUUGUCCAAACUUGGAAUUACAACUUUGCCCAAGUAUGAUGACCCAUUCUACCCUUACUUAAGAGUCAUAUAUAAGGUUCAUUUCUUCUAUAACCUUAUAGAGGACGUUGGUUAGAGGCUAAACAGAAAGAGAACAAAUCAAAACUCUCUCUAUUUUCUCUACCUUUCUUCCAUUGUUGAAGUUGCUUAAGGGUUUUAUCUAGCUCAUCACUGCUCCUCAUAUUCCUACCGAUCUUGUCAUCUUAUUUCUCCAAGAGUCCAAGGUGCAGUGGACACCCUCCACUAGGAAAGUUCCCCUAUUUUAUUCUUCUUCAUGCUUAGUCAUUCACCAUGUUUAGAAGCAUGCAUAUGCAUUUGGAAGAUCUACUCUUGAGUAUAUCAUGGAGCUAGGCUCACAUUUUUACUUAUAGCUUUGAAAUGAUUUUGCUUAAACAUGCUUGGAACCGUGUGUUCUUGCCCAUAUUUCUCCAUGCUCCUUUGUUCUUUUUUAAAAUCUAAAGAUGUCAUGUUGUUCUACUAAUUGCGUACUUUAAUUUUGAUUAAAAUUUCAUUCAAUUUGGUGGAGAGGUGAGAAAGUUAUUUGAGGUAGAAGUGAGAUUAUUGGAGUCGGGUUUAGGGCUCAUGGUCUCACUUUCGUACAUGCCUGAGGUUGAAGAUGGAGAUGUGGCAGGAUUUGGUUGCCUAUUGUGGUGUUUUGUCCGUUUGUGUUUUAAUGAAAUAUGAUAGGUUCAUGAAUGUUACACAUGAUAAAACGUGACAAUAUGUAACACCUCAAAAUUUGCCCUCCUCUCUUGGGACUAGCUUAGCAUGUUGCAUUUCAUUUUGUAGGUCAUUAGGCAUGGCAUAUUUGCAUAUCAUGUGGCCACAACAAGCAAGUCAUCCUCCAGUGAUCAAACCAACAUCACUAGCUAAAGAUUAUUUUGAAUCCAUAACUAACUUGAUCGUCCGAUACUUUGUAGGUACCACACCUUUGCUAUGAUCAUGUCAGUCUUGAGGCCCUUAGAGGUAAUGUUAUUAUGUUUGCCUCUUUUAAUUUGGUUUGAUUUGUUUGUGCUCAACAAAUUGUUCAGGUUCAUUCGUUGAUUUCGUUUAUUAAUAUGUACAAGUUUUAUAAAAACGUGAAGCCUUUUCUUGACUUGAACAUUUUUUCAGAUAUGAUUCAGGUUUUUUAUUUUUUCUGAAUUUAUAGUAAUUUGUGACCUUUUCCAUGAGAUAUAGAAAGUGAUGCAGGGAACCUUUGAUUUGGAAGCAUAAUUCGGUAUGCACCCCAGCUAUUUUUCAUAUAGAGUUUCAUGCAUUACAUUAGAUUAAAUCACAUAAAUUUGUUAAUUAAUUUGCAUAUUGUUUAUAAUUCAUUUCAGAUCCUAGUAAUUUUCAAUUAUGACUACCAAAAUCUUUUUAUUGGGACUUUAGGUAAAAAGUCAUCCUGCAUAUGUUCUGAUUUGUACAAAUUUGCUGAAGUGGUUUUCCUUCAAAUGUGUUGCAGGGAUUUGUCAUCGUCUCAGUUUUAUUCGAUACAACAUCUUGCCCUCCUCAAAUAUGUAACACCUCAAAAUUUGCCCUCCUCUCUUGGGACUAGCUUAGCAUGUUGCAUUUCAUUUUGUAGGUCAUUAGGCAUGGCAUAUUUGCAUAUCAUGUGGCCACAACAAGCAAGUCAUCCUCCUAAGUCUUGGUCAGAAGAUAAAGAGGUUGAUAUAUUCAAGCCUAAGGGUUUCAUUGAAUGAAAUUGAUCACUAGCCAUCUGAGGGUUUGUGAUUCAAAUUAGGGUUUCUUGAUUCCUCAAGGGGGUUGAGCUUUGUCUUGGUAGCAAGGGUACAUCAUCAUCAUCAUGGUUUUGUCAUCACCAAGAGAUUCAUUAUGCUUGAUCAGAUACCUUGAGAUUAGGGUUUUGACCUCUGGUCAACCCUAAUCAUCUGGAUGGUGCCAAUCAGGGCUUGUCAAGGAGAUGAGGGUUUCAAUGGAUAUGGGGAUCAUCAUAUGGUUUUAUUGAGCUUAUGGAAGCUAGGGUUUCAUCAUUGAGCCAUUUCAUCAGGAGUUUGGAGCUCAAGUUGAUCUAUGCACAGCCAAUUCAUCUAUUAGUCAGAAAAAGUCAACCAAAGGUCAACUGAUGGAUUUGGAGGUGGGAGAGGGUUAGAGACACUUCAUUCAUGUCCAAACAAGUUUCAUUUGACAUUUCAAACAUCAAGAAUGAAGAAAAUAAAGUCAGAUGAAAACUUUCCAAAAAUAGAAAGUGACUUGUAAUUCAAAAUUGCCAAAAAUGGUAAGGUUUUCUCCUUAAAAUUACAUGUCCAAAAAUGCUUCAAAUGAAAUUUUUUUCAACAUGAAAGUUGUAGAUCUUGCUCUCACCUUUCCAAAAAGUCCAAGAACAUGAAUUUCUCAUUUGUGGUUGGCAAGUUAUGGAUUGAUCAUUAUCAAGAAAAGUUGAAUUUCAAAGGUGCAUAACUUUCACAUCACAAGGCCAAAUGGAGUGAGACUUUUUGGAGCAAAUUUCUUUUGAUGUCCUCUAUCCAAUUCAAGCAUUACAUUUCAUGAAAACUCAUCACACAAAAAGUGCAUUUUUCAAGUGAACUUAAUUUGAAUUUGGAGGGAAAAAGGUGAUUUUGAAAAAUAAGCAUGAUUUUCACAUAAUUCCACUUGCAUUUGCUUCUAAACAUCAUUUCCAAGUGAUCCAAAACCAGAAAUUGGUACUGUUACAUUGAAUCACAAGGAAGGGUGAAUUGGCCAAUUUUGCAAUUUAGCAUAAAACUUGAAUUUACUAAACAUCUUGUAUUUUGGCUAAUCAUGAUGUAGCAACAUCAUUACCAUCACAUAUAUAAGCUAAAUCACAUCUGUUUCAGUGCUAAUCAUAACAGAAUUGAGAUCUAGAUCUAGAAAUCCCAAAAUUCUUCAAUUUCUUCUCUCACUUUUCUUCAAAAAUCUCCACAAACCUUGCAUUGAUCUUCAUGUAUCCUUCAUCCAUGAGCAUUUUGGAAGCUAAUUGAAGCAGGAUCUCAUCAUUUUCAAGCCAAUUCGAGGACUGUUACAAGAGUGUUCAACAAUGGCAAAUGGAGAUUUCAUCGUGUUCAAAGCACUGUUGAGCUAAAGCCUGCAUUCAUUCAUCUUCCACAUCAUCAUAGAUCAUCUGUUUUGCACUUCCAUGGCCUGAAACACGCGAAUCAACUUCUGCCAAUUCUUGAAGGUGAGUUUUCGACUUUGAUAAUUCAUGCAAUUGAUAUAUGCUUUAGAUAGAUCUUUGAGAGUAGGUCAUUCUGCAAGUUGAAUCACUGAAUUUGGUUGAGAAACGAGGAAGUUACAUUGAUUGGAAGUUUCAUAUGUGAAAAUGUUUUUCAUCGAAUCUCUUGAUUUAGGUUGAAUUAGGUUAAGAUGAUGUUAGAUUGUUAAUGUGCAUUAGAAGACCUUUCCAAUGAUGUGCGGUUUGUUGAUUUUGGUGACAAAAUGUUCAUGAGUGUAUGAAUGAUGAAGAACAUGGAUGAAUGUGUGAUGAACUCGUUUCCAGGCGUGCUUUGAUCUUGCUGAUUUCCUUUUGCAUGCGUUUUAGAUGUUUUUGUGCCAUGCAGCCAAUAGCGCUAGGACACCUCACUUAAUGAAACGAUGCGUUUCAUUAAGUGGCGCGCUGAUUUGAAAUUGGACCUGCUUCGAUCCUUGGCGCGGCUAGUGUUCCAUUUUGCCUUUUGUUUUUUUCCACCAUAUGCUUCCAUGUUCAUGUGCUUGUUUCUAUGUGUUUUUAUUUUUUUAUGCCAUUCCAAAAUUCAUAACUCCCAAACCAUUAAUCCAAUUGACAUGAGAUUUUUUGUGCCAUGAUCCUUGUAAUCUCUACUAUUUUUUGAUUAUUUUUGCAAAAAUUGUGCACGUGUGGUUUUCUGAAUGGCCUAGGGUUUGUUCAUAUGUGUUCUUUCAUGCACCUUGCUUGAUGUUUUGAUUGUGAAAUGAUGAUGCUUGAUCCAAAAUUCUUGAAAUUUUGCAUGUGUAAUCUAGACACUUCAAUGAACAUUUUGGCUUUGAGUUUGUGAUUUUAUCAUUCCUGGUUUGUGAGAUAUGAGCUGUUGAAUCUAGGUGUGACAAUUUGUGUCACACCAUUUCUUGUCUAAAUUCCUGAUUUUAUUUUCCAUGCCAUAUGAACUUGAAAUGAGCUGAAUUUUUGCAUGUUGAUACAUCUGGAUGUUAAGUUUACUUGUGAAUUUUUGUGGAUUUUUUGAGUGCAUUUCCAAUUUGUUUGAGAAUUUCCUUUCUGUUUGACCAAUUGUGGACCUUUUGUGAGUCAUGUUCUUAAAUGUUUUGUGAAAUUCUUGAUAUGUAUUGGAUGUACUUGAAAUUUUGUGGAGUGAUUCUAGACAUCUUAAAGUUUGUCAUGGCUUUGGUUUGAUUCAUUUAUCUUGUGCCAAUUCUGUUUUGUGCUUGCUUGAAGUUUAUGCAUGAUUUUAGGCCUUGUAUGAGCUUGUUUUUGCCUUGCCUUGACUUAGGGAUUUUAUUUGACUUGCUUCCCAUUGUCCAAUUGACUUGAAAUUUGGUAUGAUGAUUAUGUUAUGAAUUCUGUUUAGCCAUGAAUUUUCUUGAGAUUUAUUGAAUUACUUUUGAUUGAAUGUGGAUUGAUUCAUUCUGUUUGGUCCAAUGAGCUUUGAAAUUGCAUGUUUUGCCUUAAAUGCCUCAUGAAAUGAAAUUGGUGAAUGAUAUGAAUGUGAGACCACUUGGAUUUGUUUCUAAAUUGAUUGAACUUGAUUUUUGAUAAUUUUCAUGUUCUAUUUUGUAUUAUUGGUACCCCUUUGACCCUAGGUUUUGGCCUAGGGGUUUGCUUCUCAUGUUUGAAUUGUAUUUUCAGGACAAAAGGCAUAUAGCAUGGAGGAAUUAAUUCAGUUGGCUUGAGUUGCUUGCUUGAUUGAUGUUGAUUAACAUAAAGUUUGUUUUGUAGGUGGUUUUUAAGUUAUUUGUGAUGAGCAUUGGCUUAUAGCUUUCUGAUGCAUGCUUAUGUAAAGUUAACUGUGACCAUUAGCCUGUCUGUUUGACUGUUGGAGUUGUGUACUGAUCAUGUUAGAUUGAUUAGGUACAUUAGUUGCUAUAGUUCAUUGUGAACUUGCUUUUUCUGUUGCUUGGUUGCUUAACCAGUUGAGGUAUAGCAUCACUAACUCCAUGUAGUCUGGAAGACCUGGCCUGUUACUUGGCCAGACACCUGUCUGAAGUCCUCCUUAAGAGGCAAUGCUUGUGAUUGUUUAUUUUUGUCCCCAAGCAGGAAAAGAACUUUGAUAAGGCAAUUGGCAGAACACAAGAGAUGUGCAAUCCAUCUCCUGCUAUUCUUGUUGAGUCAUCCCUCUGCUCACACAACUGGUGUUGAUGCAUUGUGGAUAUUAACCUAAGAUCCUUGUACAAUUGUACAGUUGAGUCAGAGUCAUAAGUGUAGAAGGGUUCCCACUUUCUGAACCCACACUUCUUUGUCUGAAGCUCUCCCUGGCCAGGGAUAAGAGCUGUGAAGUAUCAUCUUCACUCACCUUUCAUCCGCUUCACCCUGACUCUCAAUGUCAGGGUUAAGAGCUAACAUUACCCUGAUACAGUUGACUUGCUUUGGCAGUCUAACCCUUGUUUGAGCCCACUUUGUUUGGAUAUAGUGUGUGCUAAUUGUGAAUGUUUUCUUUGUUUUGAUUGUGCUUGCAUGCUUUGCUUUGCCUGUUUAGGAUUAGCUUGCUGUUGUGCAAGUAGAUAGAAAACUCAACCUAGGACCAUUGUGGAAUACAUGAUAACUAUUAGGCUCGAGUCAGUCCUCCCUUCUAGUUGGUCAUUUCCCAGUCUCUGGUUAGGAGAAAAGUUUCUCCCCUGUUCAGGGGAACUACGUGCCCUGAUCCUCAUACCAGAUGAGGUACGUAGGCAGGAGGUCGUGCGAGAUCUCUCCGGCACCUUUGUUUUCUUUUUGUGUGUGUUUGCUUGACGUUGCUAGCUCGAGUUCCCGACUCCUUAGUAACUUGUUGCUUAUUUGUUCUUGCGUGUGUAGGAGAUGGAUGUAAGCCCAGUGAUUGCGCAUUCCGUAUCCUCUUGUUUGUGUGCUUGUAGUCCGGUAUAAGUCCAUCAAGUGGCAUCUGGUUUCCAGUGUGGGUUUGUUUGGUUCGGAAGCAGAUGUUAAGUCCAGCGAUUGUCAUCGGAUUCCAUGUUUGCCUGUUUGUGUAUUUGUUUUGAUGUCUCAGCGUCUGUGCGUGUGUUUUGUUUCGGCGUGCGUGAGCCGAACUACGGUAGCUCUGAUUCUCGUUCCAGACGAGAUACGUAGGCAUAGGAUGCGAUGUCCUAGUGAGCCCUCUUCCCCCUUCCUCCACCUGUGUUGUCUUCAGUGUGUGUGUGUGUGAUGUUUGUUUUAGCAACCUUUUCUUUCUUUUAGAGCGUGGAUCCCGUCGAGUACGACGGAUGCGUAGGGGUGUUAAUGCCUUCCCUUCGCAUAACCGACUCCCGAUCCCUUUCUCUUUGGUCGCGAGACCAUGUCUUUCCCAGGUUUAUUCUGAGCGUUUCCUUUCCCUCUUUUGGGAUAAAUAAUGCACGGUGGCGGCUCUGUGUUGUUUUGUUUUAGCCCGCCGGUUGUUUUUCGCGGAUGCGACACAAUACAUUUUAUUUCACUUUUAUUUUUCUGAUUUACUUUGUGGACUGGGUCGUGUGCAACUUGUUUUCCCCACUCCCCUUUAUUUUGGUCCAUUUUCGUUACAACUGGUUGCUUCUUCUUAAAUUUGCUAGCAUGCACCCCCUGUUUCUUUUUAUUUAUAAUUAUUUCUCUUCUUUUUUAACUUAUAUUUAAAUACUUCCUUUUAUCCAAAAAAUCCUUUAAAAAAUUCAUGAAUGACAUUUUGCAUAUUAUUCAAUUUUUCAUAUUUUUUAAUUUCAUUUUUGAUUUAGUUUAAUAUCUAUUUUGAUUUUUUAAAUUAAAUGUGUUUAAUUGACCUAUUUUUAAAUGUUAGGGUUUAAUUCUUGAUUUUUCCUUUUUUAUUUUGUUCCAAAUUUUUGUACACAUGUAGAGACAUGUAUAUAGGUCCUUUGAGCACUCAUUUUAUGUUUUGGUUAUCAAUUUUGCAUCAUAUUUGAACCUAUUUUUGAAGAUUGCUUGGUAUGAUCAAGUAUUUGUGCAUUGCUUAAAUGAUUGAAUUGUUUGAACAUCUUUUGCACUUUUUCUUAAGCACAUUUUUAGUAUCCUUUGAUAUUUUGACUUCAUAUUUCUAUAUUUAAUUUUUCAUAUUUUUUCCGUGCUUCUAAAUAUUUUUCUUGUAUUAUUCAAAGUAUGCUUAUUCCUUGUGCCACAUUUGCACCUAGUUAUUUAUCUUGGUGUGCACUUGUGCAACCAUUUGGGAUCCCUUUACCAUUCUUUCUUAACCUCCUCCUCAUCAUUUAAGAGUCCUAAAUUCACUCAUGUGGACCAUUUUAGUUAUCUCCAAUUGAUGCUUCUAUGCUUGUUUGUUUAGUGUGCAAUUUGCUUGCUUGUGAGACCAUAGUUUGGAUUUGGUCUUGUGCAUUCCAACUUGGGUACUAUGGGUCCAAAUGAAUUUUAUUCCUCUUGUUUAUGUUUCUGAUUUUCUUGGUCUUGGUAUCCUUAUACCUUUCUCUUAUGAUUCUUUGAAUGGUAUUCCAUUGCCACUUUAUCAUGAUGACACAUUAAGAGCUACAUUCUUCUCUUUCUUGACCUAGUUUCGAGUUUGAUGGAUGGUGAAGCUCUUAGGAGUUUGGGAUCAAUCCUUUUAUUUUAAUAUUAUUCUUAUUUUAUUUCUUUAUGUUUCCAAUCCAUUUUACCUUUCUUUUUACUUUGGUUGGGAAAAGGACUCCAUGCUUGGAUGAUGUCCAUCUUUUGACUUGUUAGUUAUGCUUGAACUUUGAGUUUGUAGUUUUGUUGAUACCUCUUGAAGUUUAGAAGUUUUAUUUGAUGCUUGGAAGAGGAUUUUAUUAUUAUCUCAUGACCCAUAAGCAUCCCUUUCUUUAAUCUUUAUCAUCCUAUGGAUUUUUGAUAAAGGAUUCCUUAUCUAGGAUGAUAUCUUCUUUUGUUUAUCAAAAUAUUUAACUUUGAUGUGUGUGUGAUUUGGUGACUUACUUUGUUACUCUUGAACCUCAUCUUGAGUUAACGUAUUGUACAAGUCAUAACACUCCUUUAUGUUAUGUGUAUACCUUGAUUGCUUGAUUACUUGUUGCUUAGGCUUCUUUGGAUUUAUGUGAUUGGUUACCUAUCUUUUCGCCUAUCUUGAAGCAUAGCUUAUGUGAUUCAUCCAUGACUCUUUAAUUGACUUGUAUGUGAAGUUCAAUUUGCCAUAUACUUCUGAUUUGUUUGGUUUGAUACCAUUUUUCUGGAUUCUAUUGCAUCUCUACUUGAUAGGAGUCCAUUAGCCUUAGAAGCAUGGCUAGGGUUUGAAUUUGAUUAUUACCUAUGUCAACCCUUGAGAAUGCUUUGAUAUGAUGCCUUUGUGAUAUUUUGCUCCUUCCUUAAUUAAUUCCAUUGUUUUGAUCUCAUUCAUCUACCAUAUCAUUGGAUAUGUCUAAACUGUCCACACUUGUGUUCAUUUCACUUUACAAAUUUACUGUUGAUCAUAUGCUUUGAUGCUUAUUUGGGUUGUUUUGUUGCUCAUUUUGAUUUGAUAACUUGUUAUUUGCUUUCAUCUUCUUCCAUGACUUGCUAUGGAUCACUUUAUUUAUAUUUCAUCUAUCCUGUCAUGACUUUAUAUGUUUUGUUUAGUUUCCAUCUUUUUCCCAUGACAUGAUAUGGAUUAUUCUGUCUACCUUCUAUAUGUUCUUCCAUGACUUGAUAUGGGAUUACUUUGUUAUCUCUUAUCUAUUCUUCCAUGACUUGAUAUGGACUGCUUUGCCUUUAUAUUAUCAUUUCUUUACCUAUGACAUUAUAUGGAUGGCUAAUUACUUUUCUCUUAUCAUGACCUGAUAUGUCUUACUUUGUGAAUUUGUUCCUACUUUCACCAUGACUUGAUAUGGAUUUGUCUUCUUCUUUAGCUCUUUUACUUGUGUGGAUAGCAUAUUCCCCAUAGAAUUUGUUCCUACCUAAUGUUGUCAUGCUUGGUUAACAAACCUAAGGUUUCCUUUAGUCCAAUCUUAUGGUGGAAGGGUUAUAAUUGCUUUCUAAUUAGUGAAAGUCACACAUGAUGUCUCUAGAGUUUAAACAAGACUCCUACAACCACAUAUCCUAUUUAGGAAUAUUGUCACCAAUAACGGGCUAGCCAUUAUAUGAUAAUACUUAUAAAAAAUAUACUCUAGGUGAGAUCUUCGUGCUAACCAAGAGAGAUGUACGUCUCGAAGGUCAAUAUUAUGCAACCUUUAAACAUAAUAACAAAUAUACAAUUCUAAACAAGGUUCUUAUACUCACUGACCCUAUUGGGAAUAUUUCCAUAAUAACGGGAUAACCAUUAAACAACAAUACCCUCAAGAGGAUCUACUCCAUGUCAGGUUUUCAUGCCGACCAAGCGAGAUGUGCAUCCCAAAGGCCAACACUACACAACCUCAAUCUAAAUUUUAAUUUAUUUAGACUCAGGUAUAAAGUCACACUCCAAAGCAUGUGUAAUGUGAAGUCAAAUAAAACCCCCAAGAUAAAUACAUUCAAAUCAUAUAAUAAAUAAAUAAAAAUAUAAAUAACUAGUGAGUUAAAGAAACCAAACAAGAAUAAAAUACUAAAGCAAACAUAAGAACACAAAUAUAGGAGGAGAAAUAAGGAUAAAUGAGAAUCAUACUUUUGCAAAAUUAAUUAUGCUAGGUUUGACUCUCUAAAGGUCUCAAGUGAAAUCGUCAGUUAUUGCGGCCUAAAAUAUUCGAGACGUGCUCGAAAAAAAAUGAAGUCACCAUCAAAGUUUAUUUGAAAAGGAAAAACACUGGUAAAACCCUUAAAGAACAAAAAGAUGGUCGUCACAAUCAAAUUUAGGUUCGAGAAUCAAUUAUGCGUAGAGAAUGUAUUAACACCCUAUGACAUUUGUUUAAUAAAAUAGUUACCUUUAGUUAAUUUUGCGAAAAAAAUAUUCUUAACAUUAUUAAAUCUAUUUUCUCCUAAUCGUUUAACACAAAAUAAAUCAUAUUUACAAACAAAGGGGGAAACUGUUUUUUAUUUAUUAAUGUGCCUAACAAGAUUUGAUUCUUGCUCUUACUAUCUCCCGAUGCGAUGGAGAAUUCCAAACUAUUUAGUUCUUGUGUAGAAAAAUAUUGUGUGUUGGUUGAUUGUAGAGAAAAAAUGUUUGAUCGCACUAAGGUGGAAAGAAAGUCAUUUAAUCGGUAGUGAUUGAUUUUUUAGGAAGAAGACAAGUGUUACAAUGGGCAAGGAGUACGACUUGUGUUCGAACACUUGAGAAAAACGAAUGCACGUCCCCAAUUAAUAGUUUUUAAUCAAAUUUUUAUUUAUAAAAAGAAAAUUUUAAAUCAAUUGAGUUACAUUCUCUUAAAGGAGGACACACAUUUGAAUAAACAUGUUGUACAACUUAUGUCCGAAUACUCGAAGAUAAAAGGGAUGCACAUCUAAUUAACCCUUUUUAAUCAUGUAAAAUAAUGGACUUGAAAAUAAAGUUAUUAAAUUUUUUUUGACAAAAAGGAUGUAUACUUCAAUAAUUCAAUUUUAAUUUAUAAAAAAGAUGAUAUUAAAAAUAAUUAAGUUGUAGGAAAUUCGACAAUUAAAAUAAAAAUAGAUGUAUGAUAAUUUUAAAAUUGUAUAUAGCUUUUUAAAGAAUUUAUUUAGAAAAGAUAAAUAGAUUUCUUUAUAAACUUGCCUUUCAUUAGUAUUAUAAAAAACUGGAUUUAAAAGAAUUUAAAAGAUAAUGUAAAUUGUUAAAGCUAGAACCCACGUGUGAUUUUGUUUUUAUAAUUUCUAACAGAAAAAACACAAAAUAGUUUGAUGACUAUUUCUCAUAACAUAAAAUAGCUAUUAAUGGAUGAAAUUAUUGAGCUUGGUGAGAUGCGAUUAGAACCGUUUCGUCUCAUCAACAACACUCAAGAAGCCAUGGAUGCUGAAAGAAAGAGGAAAAUCGCAAAGUGUGGAGUCAUGCCUCAACCCUAGUGAUUCGGUUGAUCGAAGAUGACGCAAACAAUGGAAAUUGUGAGUUAUUCUUCAUCUAUUUUAAUGCUGAUUAAGAAAUAAAAGAUAGAGUUCUUAGAUGAUGAGAUUCCUCACAUCCUCACAUGCCUCAACCCUAGUUUUUUAUUUGAACAUUUCUUCACUCGUCUUAAUGACUUUUUGUUGGCUUUCUUGUAGUAAGCUUAUUUACUUUUCAAUGCUUACAUUGAUAAUACAGUAUAUCAAUGAAUGCCAUAUGGAGUACUAAUUAAGAAGAAAAUAUUUGGGAAUAUUACAUCCUUAUUCUUUACGUUACAUUCAAUGAAACCGUUUCGUUUAGGACUAUCUUUUAUCUUUUCUUCUAUGUUUUUCAGUGAAUGUAUUUUUUUUGUUCUAUUGUUGACUUGUUAAUUAAAAUGACUAAAGUACAUAUCUUUAUUUAAAAAUGGAAGAUUCCAUUAUUUUUGAUAGCAUCAUGGCCGGCUAAAUACAAGUUGAUGUUGUUGUAAAACAAUUUUUUUCUUCUGUAUUUUUCUAUUCGAGUCUUAUUUAAGUGUGUAUAAUGUUGAUUGGGUAAUAGUUCGAUUCCAAAAUAUUCAUUGUUUUACUUUGUAUUUAGUUUUGUAUUUUGUUUCCUAAAUAAGUAAAUAUUUUCCCGAUUCCGUUUUGCUAUUGUAUUAUGCGAUGAUAAUUGUUUUGAAUUCGUUUUGGUUACAAUUAUGCAUCUAUUGACUUGUAAAUUUGGAUUGCGUAUUCGUUUGCGUGACUGUUUCAAUUACAGCUUUGUAGACUUGUAAAUUAAUGUUGGUGUUUACCACUGUUGUACGUUCGUUCUUGAACGAUAUUUAUCCUAGCUUAAGUUUGGUAAACAAAUGGUUUUGUUUUUUUUCAUGGCAUAAUAUAUGUAUCAGUAUAAUAUGUAUGUUGCUGUUCUGGUUUAAUAAGGCACAAUAUAUGUUGCUGUUCUGGUAAUACAUUGUAUAUAUGGUAUAGUAUAUAUGCUGUUGUUCCUGCAUCAGAAUGGACUCGUAAAAUCUUGUAAAUAAUACCCCUGUUGCUGUUCUGGUUUAAUUUCUGUUUGCAUUGCUAAAUCAUAUUCAAUCUGUGAUUUCGACAUUGAUAAUGUGCCGAUAUACUGCUGAUUAUGUGUGUGUCUUUUACGAUGUUUCACUUCCGAUUUAAUCAUGUAGUUGCUGCGAUUAUGCAUCUAUUGACUUGUAAAUUUGGAUUGCGUAUUCGUUUGCGUGACUGUUUCAAUUACAGCUUUGUAGACUUGUAAAUUAAUGUUGGUGUUUACCACUGUUGUACGUCCAAAAACCACAGUAAAUGUCCAUAUGUCCUGAAGAUAUUGGAGUUCCAUGCUAGACCCGGGUCUAUCCUACUUGCCAACCAGCACGAACUGCCUUCUCUGAUAUCUUCUCUUUUUACAUCUGUUGUCUUACUAUAUUUAUUACAAGGUGAAGAUGUAAUACUGUACAUUUGCUCGAGAAGCACUUCGAAUAUAGUUAGGUUUAUCAGUUUCAUAUCAUUUUUUGGAAUUACCAUACUGUACAAUUUCUAUAAAAAUGUGAAGCCUUUUUUGAUGUUUGAACAUUUCUCACUCGUCUUAAUGACUUUUUGUUGGCUUUCUUGUAGUGAGCCUUAUUUACUUUCAAUGCUUACAUUGAUAAUGUUUUGUGGAUUUUGUAGGAGGAAAACUGGAAGAGGUCAUUGCACUUACUGUGAUAUAACUGUUAAAUUGUUUGUCUCACACAUAUCUUUCAGAUGACAAGGAUAAUACGACAUUAUGAAUUGUUACAGGCCCCGCCCAGGAGCAAGCGUAUGUGACAUUUUCAUUGUAUUAGAUUGUGUUGAUUCCUACUAUUGCUAGCAAUUUAAGACAUCCCCAUGAUGUACANNNNNNNNNNNNNNNNNNNNNNNNNUCAGUUCGUUGAACGUUAUUUAUCCUAGCUUAAGUUUGGUAAACAAAUGGUUUGUUUUUUUUCAUGCAUAAUAUAUGUAUCAGUAUAAUAUGUAUGUUGCUGUUCUGGUUUAAUAAGGCACAAUAUAUGUUGCUGUUCUGGUAUCAUUGUAAAUAUGGUAUAGUAUAUAUGCUGGUUGUUCCUGCAUCAGAAUGGACUCGUAAAAUCUUGUAAAUAAAUACCCUGUUGCUGUUCUGGUUUAAUUCUGUUUUGCAUUGCUAAAUCAUUUCAAUUCGUGAUUUCGACAUUGAUAAUGUGCCGAUAUACUGCUGAUUAUGUGGUGUCUUAUACGAUGUUUUCACUUCCGAUUUAAUCAUGUAGUUGCUGCGAUUAUUUUCAUUAAGUUUGGCAAUCAUGUCAGAGUCUUUGCAGCAGGUCACCACACCUUGCUAUGCACGUGUCAUGAAUAGAUUAAAAUCAUCUUGAGGUCUUAUGGAGUAAUGUUCUUCUGUUUGCCUCUUUUUACAUUUUGUUUUUACUAUAUAUACACAAGGUGAUUGUUUGUAAAAUACUGCCAAAUAUUGUGGGCGAAAUGCUACUUUCCGAAUAAGUGAGUGGUUGAGUUCUGCAAUUUAUUUUGAGGUUAAUAUGUACAUUUUUAUAAAAAUGUGAAGCCUUUUUUAUGUUUGACAUUUUCUCACUCGUCUUAAUUACUUUUGUUGGCUUUCUUGUAGUGAGCUUAUUUACUUUUCAAUGCUUACAUUGAUAAUGUUUUGUGGAUUUUGUAGGAGGAAAACUUGGAGAGGUCAUUGCACUUACUGUGAUAUAACUGUUAAAUUGUUUGUCUCACAUAUAUCUUUCAGAUGCAAGGAUAAUACUGACAUUAUGAGAUUUUGUUUACAGGCCCCGCCCGGAGCAAGCGUAUGUGACAUUUUCAUUGUAUUAGAUUGUGUUGAUCCUACUAUUUGCAGCAAUUUAAGACAUCCCAUGAUGUACCAUUUUCAGGGGGUUCCAUGAGAUAUAGAAGUGGAUGCAGGUCACCUUUGAUUUGGAAGCAUAAUCCAGUCUGCUCCCCAGCUCUUUCUCGUAUUAAGUUUCAUGCACUUCAUAGAUUAAAUCACAUACGUUUUGUGAUCUCGUUGUGUAGAUGAAAGUGUUGUUCAUUUGUUUAAAAUUAGUUUCAAAUGUCUGCGCAUCUAGCUCAUUUCAGAUCACAAGAGUGAGGACUGGUCUUGUACCAUUUUGCAGGGGGUUCCAUGAGAUAUAGAAAGUGAUGCAGGUCACCUUUGAUUUGGAAGCAUAAUCCAGUCUGCAUCCCAGCUCUUUCUCGUAUUAAGUUUCAUGCACUUCAUUAGAUUAAGUGAUUCUGGUAGAUGGAAAGUGUUGUCAUUUUUUAAAAUUAUUUAGGUCGAAUGCCAGUAAUUUCCAAUGCAAAUUGUUUUUAAUUCAAGUCAUGAUGGUAACGUUUAUUGUAGGAAACACAUUCUAUGCAUUUGAAGAUAUUGUUUUUUCUAAUAACAAAUGUUAAUAUGUUAGUUUUAUUAUGGUGUGGGUAGGAAUAGAACCAUCAACCUCAACUCUCUCACUCCAUCCUCAAAACACCAAGCCAAGUUUAUAUCUCUCUAUAUAAUGAUAUGGUCUAGUUUUGUCUUAGCAUUUAGGAGCUUUAAUCUACAUUCUAAUAUACAUAAUUUAUGGAGAUAUAUUAUUAUAUUUCUAUAUUGACGGAGCUGUAGAGGUAGUAAUUGCACAAACUCUCGGUACUUAAGUGAGUUAUUGAUAAUUUCAUACUGGACCAUAUGAAUUUGUUGAGGAACUUUACAGUUACUGAAUAUGAUUCCAUUUUGUAUGACUUCCAAAAUCAUAUUUUCUAAUUUGUACAAAUUUGCUUUAGUGGUUUUUCUUCAAUGAAGUUACAACAUGGCUACAGUUCAUUUAAAAUUAGCCAUCUUCUUCUUGUGUCGUCUAUAAGAAAAAUUGCACGGUUGACUUAAUAUAUCCUUGUUAUGGUUUUAUGGACAAUCUUUCUCAAUUAUUAUUAUUUGAUUGUGCAUUGUGAAUUGUUAUAUGCUGGCUGGAUUAGUAGUCUUUUUAUUACCAAAUUAUUGAAUCAUAACUAACAUUGAUCGGUCGAGUUUGCAGGUACCACACCUUUGGGUGUCAUGCUAUGCUCAUGAGUAUGAUGAAACAGAAAGGAAAUGCAACAUCUUAAAAACAUGGUAGGAAGUUUACCUUUGAUUUGAGCUGCUGGCCAUGCUUAACAGUCCGGUCUUCAACCGAGCUGAGUGAAUGAGAUUCAUUGACAUGGGGGGCCUUCUGAAACUUGAUUUUACUUAUAAAUGUCAUGUUUUUAUUGGUAAUGUAUCUUAUGUUUCAUGUUUCAUGAUAAGAUUUCAUUCACGAAUCGGAAAAUAGUUCUUUUGAUUUAGGAUUUGAAUCUCAAUUUGAUAAUCAUGCCAACAAUUGAAUGGAAUACAUAACAAUGGAAUUCACAACUAAUUAAUGUGUAUUUAAAUCUAAAUAAGGGGUGAUAACCUUUUUUUCUGCAUAGGGGGGAUGGGGAAUACAUGUCUUUUCUCUUUUUUAUUUGCAAAACAAAUUACCAAAUGUCGAUUUUCUUUAUUCACAAUGGCAGAUGUAAUUUUCAACAAGGAAGAAGAUGUCAUUUCUCCGGAAAAUGAUGUCAUUGAUGGUCCGCUGUGUUUCUAUGAUGUGCUUGCUGAUUACUUUGUACAUGUGCCUGAAAGUGGGAAGCCCGUCCUUGACUUGAUUGUCCAACUUUGGAGCCAGUCAUUUGCUUCACAUAUUUUUAGCCUCUUGUUUCACAAAUGGGUAUGUAAGCUUGUCUCUGCCAUAUUGUCUUUUGCUCUCUUGAGGGAAGUUUUACUUAGCUUGAUAGUAUUAGUAUGGUCAUCCAUUACUGGUUUUGAAUUUGAACAUUUACAAUUCUAAAAAAAAGUGAGUCGUCUUAAUGGCAUGGUUACAUUCUGACAAAUAUGAACAUCCUCAAAUUGACUAAUGAUAUUCUGAGGCAUACCUGAUUAUGGCUAUAUAUUCCUUUUUCUCUUAGCUGGUUAUAGAGUGGGUGGCAAUUCCCCAUUUCACUUGACUAACAAUAUGUAUAACCUUUUUCUCUUAGUUGGUUAUAGAGUGGGUGGCAAUUCCCGAUUUCACUUGACUACCAUUUCUUCUUGUUCAUUCAAAUUUUGAAAUGCUUAUGAGUAUUUAGAACCUUCAUCAACGGUUUCUAAAAUUCAUUCUUUUCCUGAUAUUGGUACAAAAUUUCUGUCUACUAGUAGUAUAGCACCUAUUUUGUCAAAUGCUUGAAAUAGGUUUCAGAUUUAAUCCUUGGGAACCAGUGCAUACUAUUGUAAAUAUGUAGUAUGUAAGAUAAGUGACAUAUAUAGUAUAAUUAUUUCAUUUUGAUAAUGUGAGUGGUAUAUAUGAUACUAUUAUGUAUAAAUGAAAUGAGUGCUGAUAUAUAUAUAUAUAUAUAUAUAUAUAUAUAUAUAUAUAUAUAUAUAUAUAUAUAUAUAUAUNCUGUCAAAAUAAAUUUUGUCCACCGUCAAUACAAACACACACUUAAAAUUGGUUAUGAGAAUUGUGUUUUUACUUUUUACAUAGCACUGGUUUGAGAUUAGAUGUUUUUUUUUUGCUUGGGUAUAUUUCAUUUCUGUUAUUUCCCUUCUGUUGUAAGGAGUCAAUCUCCAUAUUUCCUAAAGAAAUCUUAGUUCCUAUUUUCUAAUUGACAUUCAAGAAUCACUGUUUGAGCUCUUUUAUUUAGUCCUAAUUGGGGUAAUAUUGUAAAACAUAUUUCUAGCUGUUUAGUUGUAUAUAACUUUUUAAUACCUUAAUGCAGAUGUUUGAAGUUCAUCUUGAUAAUCCAGAAGUGCUCCUACGGUAUUCAUCUGCCCUGGUUCAAGGUGCCACAAAUGUUUUCUGGUAUGAAUACAGGCUGUUAUAAAGUAAAAUGUUAAUUAAUUGGAUAUAACUUGCAAAAAGACCAGGCAGAUUUGGAUUGGCUGGCAUUUAUAAGUUAAAAUUAUAUUCACUUUGAAAAACCAUGCUCUGAAAAGAUAUGAACUUCAUUUCAUGCUCCACUCCACUCCUAAAUGGAAAUAAGAAGAAUAUGUGUGAACUCUCUUUAUCAUCUUUCUUUUAAAAACAAUAUUUGCUUGCAUUACAUGAUUUUAUCAAUAGUCUUUCUAUGCCAAAUCAAUAGCAAUCCGUUUGACCUUAUCCUAAUCCAUUAAAAACAAAACAGAAAGUAAUUGAAAAUUUGGAAAAUGUUAGUAAGAGUGUCUUCAUGGGCUAAAACCUCUACUAUGAUAGAGUUGAUAUUGUACCAUAUUUGGAAAAUCAAUUUGAGAAUUGCAAUAGUCAUUUUUGGUGCCAUGUACAGGAUUGACAUUCAGACAAAUACAAAGCGUUUCCGGUCUAUAUUCCGUGUAAGGGUUCUAGUUGGAUCCUAUAUUUAUUUUAACUAUUAUGUAUCAUCUGAAUAAUAUUAUAAUCAUUGUUUCUUUUCCCAAUUCUUUUGCAUAUUCCUUGUGUUUCCCUCAAAUUCAGUACCUCUUGGAUGAUGAUGCAUUACACCACAGUAGAUUGAAUAAAAUUCCUCUCCAGGUAUACCAUAUCAGUUUUAGUUUUUGGCAUUUUAUAAAUGCUGCCUACAAUUUUUUAUAGGACCUUUAGCUAGUCUACUUUUGUUGCUGGCAAUGGCAUUCUGAAAUUUUUUACUUUUCAUUGAACUAUCAGGCUCAGCGAGAUAUGUAUCUUUUGCUCUCAAGGUUCAUUCUAUUUUACAAUUCAGGUAGCCAUUCAGAGAAGUUAUUAGCCUAUAAAUAAUAAUGCAAUAGUCUCUAAAUCUAAUAUUGCCCUCUUUGCAGCUGGCAAAAUCGAUAGCUUCUUGAAACAAUGUCCUGUUUUUCAAACUGCCUUCUUAGUUGGCAGUCCGGCAGAUAUAUUUGUGAAUGAACUCACGGAUCAGGUACAUCUGAAUCACCUUUUUUCACAAUUGAAAACCAUAUCCUCUGUUUCAUAUAAAGAAAUUAUGUUACCUACACUUAAUUGUUGCUGUUGAUUUUUUUAACAGCUUCAAAAGCUUAAGGUGGAACCUGUACUGCUGCAUUAUCUUUCAUAAAUCAAGGUCCUUCAGGGUACUAAACCAACCAUUCAGGUUCAAUAGUUGGACAUGGAAUAUUCUUCUCUCAACCUGACUCAGCUAAGUCAUUCUUUUGUUUAUGUUAAUGGCACAGGUAUGGAAUUGAGAAUGACGACAAGUACGAGAUUGAAAACAUGUUUGUAUAGUUUUACUUCUCCUGGUGGUCCAAUGUACCCGACCAGAGCUGUUCGUCAUGCUGCAUGGGAAGCACUAGAUUUUCUUUUUCCGGUUAGUCUUAUUAUUAAUAAUUAAAGCACUAGAGUUUCUUUUUCCGUUAGUAUUAUUAUUACUUAAUAAUUAGUAUUCAAACCAAAUUAUAACAAAUUGCAAGAGCUUUGUCCUCGCCGGCCCAAAAUGCCUUUUUUCACUUUAAAUAUUUUUAGGUCCCAUCAUUGUUAAAUACUUGACUUUUAUUAAAACCUUUUUAAGUUUUAUAGGUGGGAUUAUAUGACUAUUAAACUGUUUAAAUUUCCAAUAGAUGAAGGGAAACAUUAAUGGCUUUUUAAAAUGAUUUCAUAGAAUCUGCACACAGAUGAUGUGUUUUUCCCUUUUAGCUUUUUCAACUUAUUUCUGAAAGGGUGGAUUGUUUGUGUAUAUGCCGUAUAGUUCAUAGUUAAGAUAUCAAUAUAGCAUAUUGAUAAAUAAGUGUAAUAUCUUAACUCAUAAGCACGAGCUUCAUGCACGCACCAAGUACUAGUCCGAUAAAUAAAUAUUAAUGUUGAUUUUCUGCUAUGAUGCAGGUUGGGCAAUACCCUCGGCAUCUCAUAAGUCUGUUCUUCAGGUUGCUCUAUCCAUGGUAUUGGCCAUCCUCUUGUUGGAACUUUGUGGUUUCGUGCAUUCAUGCUAUCUUUUACUCCUUACUGAGGUUGAUAUUUUCUACGUGGGAAAAAAUUGCCAAACCAAAAACACAGUAAAUGUCCAUAUGUCCUGAAGAUAUUGGAGUUCAUGCAUAGAACCCGGGUCAUCUCUUGCCAACCAGCACGAAUGCCUUCUCUGAUAUUUCUUUUUUCCACUCAAUGUGAUGUACAUAUCAUUUUUUGAAUUAAUAUGUACAAUUUUUAUCAGAGAAGGCAUAUUAUUCAGGUUCAUUCGUUCAUAUCAUUUUUUGAAUUAAUAUGUACAAUUUCUAUAAAAAUGUGAAGCCUUUUUUUGAUUUGAACAUUUUCUCACUCGUCUUAAUGACUUUUUGUUGGCUUUCUUGUAGUGAGCUUAUUUACUUUUCAAUGCUUACAUUGAUAAUGUUUUGUGGAUUUUGUAGGAGGAAAACUUGGAAGAGGUCAUUGCACUUACUGUGAUAUAACUGUUAAAUUGUUUGUCUCACACAUAUCUUUCAGAUGCAAAGGAUAAUACUGACAUUAUGAAUUUUGUUACAGGCCCCGCCCAGGGAGCAAGCGUAUGUGACAUUUUCAUUGUAUUAGAUUGUGUUGAUCCUACUAUUGCUAGCAAUUUAAGGCAUCCCAUGAUGUACCAUUUUGCAGGGGGUUCCAUGAGAUAUAGAAAGUGAUGCAGGUCACCUUUGAUUUGGAAGCAUAAUCCAGUCUGCAUCCCAGCUCUUUCUCGUAUUAAGUUUCAUGCACUUCAUUAGAUUAAAUCACAUACGUUUGUGAUUCUGGUAGAUGGAAAGUGUUGUCAUUUUUUAAAAUUAUUUAGGUCGAAUGCCAGUAAUUUCCAAUGCAAUUUGUUUUUAAUUCAAGUCAUGAUGGUAACGUUUAUCGUAGGAAACAGAUUCUAUGCAUUUGAAGAUGUUGUUUUUUCUAUUAACAAAUGUUAAUAUGUUAGUUUUAUUAUGGUGUGGGUAGGACUAGAACCAUCAACCUCAACUCUCUCACUCCAUCCUCAAACCACCAAACCAAGUUUAUAUCUCUCUAUAUAAUGAUAUGGUCUAGUUUUGUCUUAGCAUUUAGGAGCUUUAAUCUACAUUCUAAUGUACAUAAUUUAUGGAGAUAUAUUAUUAUAUUUCUAUAUUGGCGGAGCUGUAGAGGUAGUAACUGCACAAACUCUCGGUACUUAAAUGAGUUAUUGAUAAUUUCAUACUGGACCGUAUGAAUUUAUUGAGGAACUUCACAGUUACUGAAUAUGAUUCCAUUUUGUAUGACUUCCAAAAUCAUAUUUUCUAAUUUGUACAAAUUUGCUUUAGUGGUUUUUCUUCAAUGAAGUUACAACAUAGCUACAGUUCAUUUAAAAUUAGCCAUCUUCUUCUUGUGUCGUCUAUAAGAAAAAUUGCACGGUUGACUUAAUAUAUCCUUGUUAUGGUUUUAUGGACAAUCUUUCUCGAUUAUUAUUAUUUGAUUGUGCAAUUGUGAAGUUGUUAUGAUCUGCUUGUGAUUAGUAUGUUCUUUUAUUUACCAAAAUUAUUUGAAUUCAUAACUAACUUGAUCGUCGGAGUUUUUGCAGGUACCACACCUUUGGUGUGUCAUGCUAUGCUCAUGAGUAUGAUGAAACAGAAAGGAAAUGCAACAUCUUAAAAACAUGGUAGGAAGUUUACCUUUGAUUUGAGCUGCUGGCCAUGCUUAACAGUCCGGUCUUCAACCGAGCUGAGUGAAUGAGAUUCAUUGACAUGGGGGGCCUUCUGAAACUUGAUUUUACUUAUAAAUGUCAUGUUUUUAUUGGUAAUGUAUCUUAUGUUUCAUGUUUCAUGAUAAGAUUUCAUUCACGAAUCGGAAAAUAGUUCUUUUGAUUUAGGAUUUGAAUCUCAAUUUGAUAAUCAUGCCAACAAUUGAAUGGAAUACAUAACAAUGGAAUUCACAACUAAUUAAUGUGUAUUUAAAUCUAAAUAAGGGGUGAUAACCUUUUUUUCUGCAUAGGGGGGAUGGGGAAUACAUGUCUUUUCUCUUUUUUAUUUGCAAAACAAAUUACCAAAUGUCGAUUUUCUUUAUUCACAAUGGCAGAUGUAAUUUUCAACAAGGAAGAAGAUGUCAUUUCUCCGGAAAAUGAUGUCAUUGAUGGUCCGCUGUGUUUCUAUGAUGUGCUUGCUGAUUACUUUGUACAUGUGCCUGAAAGUGGGAAGCCCGUCCUUGACUUGAUUGUCCAACUUUGGAGCCAGUCAUUUGCUUCACAUAUUUUUAGCCUCUUGUUUCACAAAUGGGUAUGUAAGCUUGUCUCUGCCAUAUUGUCUUUUGCUCUCUUGAGGGAAGUUUUACUUAGCUUGAUAGUAUUAGUAUGGUCAUCCAUUACUGGUUUUGAAUUUGAACAUUUACAAUUCUAAAAAAAAGUGAGUCGUCUUAAUGGCAUGGUUACAUUCUGACAAAUAUGAACAUCCUCAAAUUGACUAAUGAUAUUCUGAGGCAUACCUGAUUAUGGCUAUAUAUUCCUUUUUCUCUUAGCUGGUUAUAGAGUGGGUGGCAAUUCCCCAUUUCACUUGACUAACAAUAUGUAUAACCUUUUUCUCUUAGUUGGUUAUAGAGUGGGUGGCAAUUCCCGAUUUCACUUGACUACCAUUUCUUCUUGUUCAUUCAAAUUUUGAAAUGCUUAUGAGUAUUUAGAACCUUCAUCAACGGUUUCUAAAAUUCAUUCUUUUCCUGAUAUUGGUACAAAAUUUCUGUCUACUAGUAGUAUAGCACCUAUUUUGUCAAAUGCUUGAAAUAGGUUUCAGAUUUAAUCCUUGGGAACCAGUGCAUACUAUUGUAAAUAUGUAGUAUGUAAGAUAAGUGACAUAUAUAGUAUAAUUAUUUCAUUUUGAUAAUGUGAGUGGUAUAUAUGAUACUAUUAUGUAUAAAUGAAAUGAGUGCUGAUAUAUAUAUAUAUAUAUAUAUAUAUAUAUAUAUAUAUAUAUAUAUAUAUAUAUUAGUUAAUCAUGGACUAAUGCAUAUUACUAGUAUGUUUGGUUUGGCUUUUGGAACAGCUAGAAUCAAUUCUAGAGGUGUAGAAUUGAUUAUGGAGUGAUUUUGAGGUGUUUGGUUCUAAAGUAGAAUUGAUUUUACCUCCAGAAUUGAUUCUACUUGAAGCUAGAAUUUGUAGCUUCUGAGUUUAAACACGAUUUUUACACUGAAAUUUGUUGUUCAACUCACUUUUACAUAAACGUAUCCAAACAUAAAUCAAAUUAUGUUAAACUUCUAUUAAAAUCAAUUAUACUAAACUCAUUUCUGUCAAAAUAAAUUUUGUCCACCGUCAAUACAAACACACACUUAAAAUUGGUUAUGAGAAUUGUGUUUUUACUUUUUACAUAGCACUGGUUUGAGAUUAGAUGUUUUUUUUUUGCUUGGGUAUAUUUCAUUUCUGUUAUUUCCCUUCUGUUGUAAGGAGUCAAUCUCCAUAUUUCCUAAAGAAAUCUUAGUUCCUAUUUUCUAAUUGACAUUCAAGAAUCACUGUUUGAGCUCUUUUAUUUAGUCCUAAUUGGGGUAAUAUUGUAAAACAUAUUUCUAGCUGUUUAGUUGUAUAUAACUUUUUAAUACCUUAAUGCAGAUGUUUGAAGUUCAUCUUGAUAAUCCAGAAGUGCUCCUACGGUAUUCAUCUGCCCUGGUUCAAGGUGCCACAAAUGUUUUCUGGUAUGAAUACAGGCUGUUAUAAAGUAAAAUGUUAAUUAAUUGGAUAUAACUUGCAAAAAGACCAGGCAGAUUUGGAUUGGCUGGCAUUUAUAAGUUAAAAUUAUAUUCACUUUGAAAAACCAUGCUCUGAAAAGAUAUGAACUUCAUUUCAUGCUCCACUCCACUCCUAAAUGGAAAUAAGAAGAAUAUGUGUGAACUCUCUUUAUCAUCUUUCUUUUAAAAACAAUAUUUGCUUGCAUUACAUGAUUUUAUCAAUAGUCUUUCUAUGCCAAAUCAAUAGCAAUCCGUUUGACCUUAUCCUAAUCCAUUAAAAACAAAACAGAAAGUAAUUGAAAAUUUGGAAAAUGUUAGUAAGAGUGUCUUCAUGGGCUAAAACCUCUACUAUGAUAGAGUUGAUAUUGUACCAUAUUUGGAAAAUCAAUUUGAGAAUUGCAAUAGUCAUUUUUGGUGCCAUGUACAGGAUUGACAUUCAGACAAAUACAAAGCGUUUCCGGUCUAUAUUCCGUGUAAGGGUUCUAGUUGGAUCCUAUAUUUAUUUUAACUAUUAUGUAUCAUCUGAAUAAUAUUAUAAUCAUUGUUUCUUUUCCCAAUUCUUUUGCAUAUUCCUUGUGUUUCCCUCAAAUUCAGUACCUCUUGGAUGAUGAUGCAUUACACCACAGUAGAUUGAAUAAAAUUCCUCUCCAGGUAUACCAUAUCAGUUUUAGUUUUUGGCAUUUUAUAAAUGCUGCCUACAAUUUUUUAUAGGACCUUUAGCUAGUCUACUUUUGUUGCUGGCAAUGGCAUUCUGAAAUUUUUUACUUUUCAUUGAACUAUCAGGCUCAGCGAGAUAUGUAUCUUUUGCUCUCAAGGUUCAUUCUAUUUUACAAUUCAGGUAGCCAUUCAGAGAAGUUAUUAGCCUAUAAAUAAUAAUGCAAUAGUCUCUAAAUCUAAUAUUGCCCUCUUUGCAGCUGGCAAAAUCGAUAGCUUCUUGAAACAAUGUCCUGUUUUUCAAACUGCCUUCUUAGUUGGCAGUCCGGCAGAUAUAUUUGUGAAUGAACUCACGGAUCAGGUACAUCUGAAUCACCUUUUUUCACAAUUGAAAACCAUAUCCUCUGUUUCAUAUAAAGAAAUUAUGUUACCUACACUUAAUUGUUGCUGUUGAUUUUUUUAACAGCUUCAAAAGCUUAAGGUGGAACCUGUACUGCUGCAUUAUCUUUCAGAAGUCAAGGUCCUUCAGGGUACUAAACCAACCAUUCAGGUGCAAUAGUUGGACAUGGAAUAUUCUUCUCUCAACCUGACUCAGCUAAGUCAUUCUUUUGUUUAUGUUAAUGGCACAGGUAUCGAAUUGAGAAUGACGACAAGUACGAGAUUGAAAACAUGUUUGUAUGGUUUUACUUCUCCUGGUGGUCCAAUGUACCCGACCAGAGCUGUUCGUCAUGCUGCAUGGGAAGCACUAGAUUUUCUUUUUCCGAUAAGUAUUAUUAUUAAUAAUUAAAGCACUAGAGUUUCUUUUUCCGUUAGUAUUAUUAUUACUUAAUAAUUAGUAUUCAAACCAAAUUAUAACAAAUUGCAAGAGCUUUGUCCUCGCCGGCCCAAAAUGCCUUUAUAAUAAUUAGUAUUCAAACCAAAUUAUAACAAAUUGCAAGAGCUUUGUCCUCGCCGGCCCAAAAUGCCUUUUUUCACUUUAAAUAUUUUUAGGUCCCAUCAUUGUUAAAUACUUGACUUUUAUUAAAGCCUUUUUAAGUUUUAUAGGUGGGAUUAUAUGACUAUUAAACUGUUUAAAUUUCCAAUAGAUGAAGGGAAACAUUAAUGGCUUUUUAAAAUGAUUUCAUAGAAUCUGCACACAGAUGAUGUGUUUUUCCCUUUUAGCUUUUUCAACUUAUUUCUGAAAGGCUGGAUUAAUUGUGUAUAUGCCGUAUAGUCAUAGUUAAGAUAUCAAUAUAGCAUAUUGAUAAAUAAGUGUAAUAUCUUAACUCAUAAGCAAGAGCUUCAUGCACGCACCAAGUACUAGUCCGAUAAAUGAAUAUUAAUGUUGAUUUUCUGCUAUGAUGCAGGUUGGGCAAUACCCUCGGCAUCUCAUAAGUCUGUUCUUCAGGUUGCUCUAUCCAUGGUAUUGGCCAUCCUCUUGUUGGAACUUUGUGGUUUCGUGCAUUCAUGCUAUCUUUUACUCCUUACUGAGGUUGAUAUUUUCUACGUGGGAAAAAAUUGCCAAACCAAAAACACAGUAAAUGUCCAUAUGUCCUGAAGAUAUUGGAGUUCAUGCAUAGAACCCGGGUCAUCUCUUGCCAACCAGCACGAAUGCCUUCUCUGAUAUUUCUUUUUUCCACUCAAUGUGAUGUACAUAUCAUUUUUUGAAUUAAUAUGUACAAUUUUUAUCAGAGAAGGCAUAUUAUUCAGGUUCAUUCGUUCAUAUCAUUUUUUGAAUUAAUAUGUACAAUUUCUAUAAAAAUGUGAAGCCUUUUUUUGAUUUGAACAUUUUCUCACUCGUCUUAAUGACUUUUUGUUGGCUUUCUUGUAGUGAGCUUAUUUACUUUUCAAUGCUUACAUUGAUAAUGUUUUGUGGAUUUUGUAGGAGGAAAACUUGGAAGAGGUCAUUGCACUUACUGUGAUAUAACUGUUAAAUUGUUUGUCUCACACAUAUCUUUCAGAUGCAAAGGAUAAUACUGACAUUAUGAAUUUUGUUACAGGCCCCGCCCAGGGAGCAAGCGUAUGUGACAUUUUCAUUGUAUUAGAUUGUGUUGAUCCUACUAUUGCUAGCAAUUUAAGGCAUCCCAUGAUGUACCAUUUUGCAGGGGGUUCCAUGAGAUAUAGAAAGUGAUGCAGGUCACCUUUGAUUUGGAAGCAUAAUCCAGUCUGCAUCCCAGCUCUUUCUCGUAUUAAGUUUCAUGCACUUCAUUAGAUUAAAUCACAUACGUUUGUGAUUCUGGUAGAUGGAAAGUGUUGUCAUUUUUUAAAAUUAUUUAGGUCGAAUGCCAGUAAUUUCCAAUGCAAUUUGUUUUUAAUUCAAGUCAUGAUGGUAACGUUUAUCGUAGGAAACAGAUUCUAUGCAUUUGAAGAUGUUGUUUUUUCUAUUAACAAAUGUUAAUAUGUUAGUUUUAUUAUGGUGUGGGUAGGACUAGAACCAUCAACCUCAACUCUCUCACUCCAUCCUCAAACCACCAAACCAAGUUUAUAUCUCUCUAUAUAAUGAUAUGGUCUAGUUUUGUCUUAGCAUUUAGGAGCUUUAAUCUACAUUCUAAUGUACAUAAUUUAUGGAGAUAUAUUAUUAUAUUUCUAUAUUGGCGGAGCUGUAGAGGUAGUAACUGCACAAACUCUCGGUACUUAAAUGAGUUAUUGAUAAUUUCAUACUGGACCGUAUGAAUUUAUUGAGGAACUUCACAGUUACUGAAUAUGAUUCCAUUUUGUAUGACUUCCAAAAUCAUAUUUUCUAAUUUGUACAAAUUUGCUUUAGUGGUUUUUCUUCAAUGAAGUUACAACAUAGCUACAGUUCAUUUAAAAUUAGCCAUCUUCUUCUUGUGUCGUCUAUAAGAAAAAUUGCACGGUUGACUUAAUAUAUCCUUGUUAUGGUUUUAUGGACAAUCUUUCUCGAUUAUUAUUAUUUGAUUGUGCAAUUGUGAAGUUGUUAUGAUCUGCUUGUGAUUAGUAUGUUCUUUUAUUUACCAAAAUUAUUUGAAUUCAUAACUAACUUGAUCGUCGGAGNUAAUAAUUAGUAUUCAAACCAAAUUAUAACAAAUUGCAAGAGCUUUGUCCUCGCCGGCCCAAAAUGCCUUUUUUCACUUUAAAUAUUUUUAGGUCCCAUCAUUGUUAAAUACUUGACUUUUAUUAAAACCUUUUUAAGUUUUAUAGGUGGGAUUAUAUGACUAUUAAACUGUUUAAAUUUCCAAUAGAUGAAGGGAAACAUUAAUGGCUUUUUAAAAUGAUUUCAUAGAAUCUGCACACAGAUGAUGUGUUUUUCCCUUUUAGCUUUUUCAACUUAUUUCUGAAAGGGUGGAUUGUUUGUGUAUAUGCCGUAUAGUUCAUAGUUAAGAUAUCAAUAUAGCAUAUUGAUAAAUAAGUGUAAUAUCUUAACUCAUAAGCACGAGCUUCAUGCACGCACCAAGUACUAGUCCGAUAAAUAAAUAUUAAUGUUGAUUUUCUGCUAUGAUGCAGGUUGGGCAAUACCCUCGGCAUCUCAUAAGUCUGUUCUUCAGGUUGCUCUAUCCAUGGUAUUGGCCAUCCUCUUGUUGGAACUUUGUGGUUUCGUGCAUUCAUGCUAUCUUUUACUCCUUACUGAGGUUGAUAUUUUCUACGUGGGAAAAAAUUGCCAAACCAAAAACACAGUAAAUGUCCAUAUGUCCUGAAGAUAUUGGAGUUCAUGCAUAGAACCCGGGUCAUCUCUUGCCAACCAGCACGAAUGCCUUCUCUGAUAUUUCUUUUUUCCACUCAAUGUGAUGUACAUAUCAUUUUUUGAAUUAAUAUGUACAAUUUUUAUCAGAGAAGGCAUAUUAUUCAGGUUCAUUCGUUCAUAUCAUUUUUUGAAUUAAUAUGUACAAUUUCUAUAAAAAUGUGAAGCCUUUUUUUGAUUUGAACAUUUUCUCACUCGUCUUAAUGACUUUUUGUUGGCUUUCUUGUAGUGAGCUUAUUUACUUUUCAAUGCUUACAUUGAUAAUGUUUUGUGGAUUUUGUAGGAGGAAAACUUGGAAGAGGUCAUUGCACUUACUGUGAUAUAACUGUUAAAUUGUUUGUCUCACACAUAUCUUUCAGAUGCAAAGGAUAAUACUGACAUUAUGAAUUUUGUUACAGGCCCCGCCCAGGGAGCAAGCGUAUGUGACAUUUUCAUUGUAUUAGAUUGUGUUGAUCCUACUAUUGCUAGCAAUUUAAGGCAUCCCAUGAUGUACCAUUUUGCAGGGGGUUCCAUGAGAUAUAGAAAGUGAUGCAGGUCACCUUUGAUUUGGAAGCAUAAUCCAGUCUGCAUCCCAGCUCUUUCUCGUAUUAAGUUUCAUGCACUUCAUUAGAUUAAAUCACAUACGUUUGUGAUUCUGGUAGAUGGAAAGUGUUGUCAUUUUUUAAAAUUAUUUAGGUCGAAUGCCAGUAAUUUCCAAUGCAAUUUGUUUUUAAUUCAAGUCAUGAUGGUAACGUUUAUCGUAGGAAACAGAUUCUAUGCAUUUGAAGAUGUUGUUUUUUCUAUUAACAAAUGUUAAUAUGUUAGUUUUAUUAUGGUGUGGGUAGGACUAGAACCAUCAACCUCAACUCUCUCACUCCAUCCUCAAACCACCAAACCAAGUUUAUAUCUCUCUAUAUAAUGAUAUGGUCUAGUUUUGUCUUAGCAUUUAGGAGCUUUAAUCUACAUUCUAAUGUACAUAAUUUAUGGAGAUAUAUUAUUAUAUUUCUAUAUUGGCGGAGCUGUAGAGGUAGUAACUGCACAAACUCUCGGUACUUAAAUGAGUUAUUGAUAAUUUCAUACUGGACCGUAUGAAUUUAUUGAGGAACUUCACAGUUACUGAAUAUGAUUCCAUUUUGUAUGACUUCCAAAAUCAUAUUUUCUAAUUUGUACAAAUUUGCUUUAGUGGUUUUUCUUCAAUGAAGUUACAACAUAGCUACAGUUCAUUUAAAAUUAGCCAUCUUCUUCUUGUGUCGUCUAUAAGAAAAAUUGCACGGUUGACUUAAUAUAUCCUUGUUAUGGUUUUAUGGACAAUCUUUCUCGAUUAUUAUUAUUUGAUUGUGCAAUUGUGAAGUUGUUAUGAUCUGCUUGUGAUUAGUAUGUUCUUUUAUUUACCAAAAUUAUUUGAAUUCAUAACUAACUUGAUCGUCGGAGUUUUUGCAGGUACCACACCUUUGGUGUGUCAUGCUAUGCUCAUGAGUAUGAUGAAACAGAAAGGAAAUGCAACAUCUUAAAAACAUGGUAGGAAGUUUACCUUUGAUUUGAGCUGCUGGCCAUGCUUAACAGUCCGGUCUUCAACCGAGCUGAGUGAAUGAGAUUCAUUGACAUGGGGGGCCUUCUGAAACUUGAUUUUACUUAUAAAUGUCAUGUUUUUAUUGGUAAUGUAUCUUAUGUUUCAUGUUUCAUGAUAAGAUUUCAUUCACGAAUCGGAAAAUAGUUCUUUUGAUUUAGGAUUUGAAUCUCAAUUUGAUAAUCAUGCCAACAAUUGAAUGGAAUACAUAACAAUGGAAUUCACAACUAAUUAAUGUGUAUUUAAAUCUAAAUAAGGGGUGAUAACCUUUUUUUCUGCAUAGGGGGGAUGGGGAAUACAUGUCUUUUCUCUUUUUUAUUUGCAAAACAAAUUACCAAAUGUCGAUUUUCUUUAUUCACAAUGGCAGAUGUAAUUUUCAACAAGGAAGAAGAUGUCAUUUCUCCGGAAAAUGAUGUCAUUGAUGGUCCGCUGUGUUUCUAUGAUGUGCUUGCUGAUUACUUUGUACAUGUGCCUGAAAGUGGGAAGCCCGUCCUUGACUUGAUUGUCCAACUUUGGAGCCAGUCAUUUGCUUCACAUAUUUUUAGCCUCUUGUUUCACAAAUGGGUAUGUAAGCUUGUCUCUGCCAUAUUGUCUUUUGCUCUCUUGAGGGAAGUUUUACUUAGCUUGAUAGUAUUAGUAUGGUCAUCCAUUACUGGUUUUGAAUUUGAACAUUUACAAUUCUAAAAAAAAGUGAGUCGUCUUAAUGGCAUGGUUACAUUCUGACAAAUAUGAACAUCCUCAAAUUGACUAAUGAUAUUCUGAGGCAUACCUGAUUAUGGCUAUAUAUUCCUUUUUCUCUUAGCUGGUUAUAGAGUGGGUGGCAAUUCCCCAUUUCACUUGACUAACAAUAUGUAUAACCUUUUUCUCUUAGUUGGUUAUAGAGUGGGUGGCAAUUCCCGAUUUCACUUGACUACCAUUUCUUCUUGUUCAUUCAAAUUUUGAAAUGCUUAUGAGUAUUUAGAACCUUCAUCAACGGUUUCUAAAAUUCAUUCUUUUCCUGAUAUUGGUACAAAAUUUCUGUCUACUAGUAGUAUAGCACCUAUUUUGUCAAAUGCUUGAAAUAGGUUUCAGAUUUAAUCCUUGGGAACCAGUGCAUACUAUUGUAAAUAUGUAGUAUGUAAGAUAAGUGACAUAUAUAGUAUAAUUAUUUCAUUUUGAUAAUGUGAGUGGUAUAUAUGAUACUAUUAUGUAUAAAUGAAAUGAGUGCUGAUAUAUAUAUAUAUAUAUAUAUAUAUAUAUAUAUAUAUAUAUAUAUAUAUAUAUNNNNNNNNNNNNNNNNNNNNNNNNNNNNNNNNNNNNNNNNNNNNNNNNNNNNNNNNNNNNNNNNNNNNNNNNNNNNNNNNNNNNNNNNNNNNNNNNNNNNNNNNNNNNNNNNNNNNNNNNNNNNNNNNNNNNNNNNNNNNNNNNNNNNNNNNNNNNNNNNNNNNNNNNNNNNNNNNNNNNNNNNNNNNNNNNNNNNNNNNNNNNNNNNNNNNNNNNNNNNNNNNNNNNNNNNNNNNNNNNNNNNNNNNNNNNNNNNNNNNNNNNNNNNNNNNNNNNNNNNNNNNNNNNNNNNNNNNNNNNNNNNNNNNNNNNNNNNNNNNNNNNNNNNNNNNNNNNNNNNNNNNNNNNNNNNNNNNNNNNNNNNNNNNNNNNNNNNNNNNNNNNNNNNNNNNNNNNNNNNNNNNNNNNNNNNNNNNNNNNNNNNNNNNNNNNNNNNNNNNNNNNNNNNNNNNNNNNNNNNNNNNNNNNNNNNNNNNNNNNNNNNNNNNNNNNNNNNNNNNNNNNNNNNNNNNNNNNNNNNNNNNNNNNNNNNNNNNNNNNNNNNNNNNNNNNNNNNNNNNNNNNNNNNNNNNNNNNNNNNNNNNNNNNNNNNNNNNNNNNNNNNNNNNNNNNNNNNNNNNNNNNNNNNNNNNNNNNNNNNNNNNNNNNNNNNNNNNNNNNNNNNNNNNNNNNNNNNNNNNNNNNNNNNNNNNNNNNNNNNNNNNNNNNNNNNNNNNNNNNNNNNNNNNNNNNNNNNNNNNNNNNNNNNNNNNNNNNNNNNNNNNNNNNNNNNNNNNNNNNNNNNNNNNNNNNNNNNNNNNNNNNNNNNNNNNNNNNNNNNNNNNNNNNNNNNNNNNNNNNNNNNNNNNNNNNNNNNNNNNNNNNNNNNNNNNNNNNNNNNNNNNNNNNNNNNNNNNNNNNNNNNNNNNNNNNNNNNNNNNNNNNNNNNNNNNNNNNNNNNNNNNNNNNNNNNNNNNNNNNNNNNNNNNNNNNNNNNNNNNNNNNNNNNNNNNNNNNNNNNNNNNNNNNNNNNNNNNNNNNNNNNNNNNNNNNNNNNNNNNNNNNNNNNNNNNNNNNNNNNNNNNNNNNNNNNNNNNNNNNNNNNNNNNNNNNNNNNNNNNNNNNNNNNNNNNNNNNNNNNNNNNNNNNNNNNNNNNNNNNNNNNNNNNNNNNNNNNNNNNNNNNNNNNNNNNNNNNNNNNNNNNNNNNNNNNNNNNNNNNNNNNNNNNNNNNNNNNNNNNNNNNNNNNNNNNNNNNNNNNNNNNNNNNNNNNNNNNNNNNNNNNNNNNNNNNNNNNNNNNNNNNNNNNNNNNNNNNNNNNNNNNNNNNNNNNNNNNNNNNNNNNNNNNNNNNNNNNNNNNNNNNNNNNNNNNNNNNNNNNNNNNNNNNNNNNNNNNNNNNNNNNNNNNNNNNNNNNNNNNNNNNNNNNNNNNNNNNNNNNNNNNNNNNNNNNNNNNNNNNNNNNNNNNNNNNNNNNNNNNNNNNNNNNNNNNNNNNNNNNNNNNNNNNNNNNNNNNNNNNNNNNNNNNNNNNNNNNNNNNNNNNNNNNNNNNNNNNNNNNNNNNNNNNNNNNNNNNNNNNNNNNNNNNNNNNNNNNNNNNNNNNNNNNNNNNNNNNNNNNNNNNNNNNNNNNNNNNNNNNNNNNNNNNNNNNNNNNNNNNNNNNNNNNNNNNNNNNNNNNNNNNNNNNNNNNNNNNNNNNNNNNNNNNNNNNNNNNNNNNNNNNNNNNNNNNNNNNNNNNNNNNNNNNNNNNNNNNNNNNNNNNNNNNNNNNNNNNNNNNNNNNNNNNNNNNNNNNNNNNNNNNNNNNNNNNNNNNNNNNNNNNNNNNNNNNNNNNNNNNNNNNNNNNNNNNNNNNNNNNNNNNNNNNNNNNNNNNNNNNNNNNNNNNNNNNNNNNNNNNNNNNNNNNNNNNNNNNNNNNNNNNNNNNNNNNNNNNNNNNNNNNNNNNNNNNNNNNNNNNNNNNNNNNNNNNNNNNNNNNNNNNNNNNNNNNNNNNNNNNNNNNNNNNNNNNNNNNNNNNNNNNNNNNNNNNNNNNNNNNNNNNNNNNNNNNNNNNNNNNNNNNNNNNNNNNNNNNNNNNNNNNNNNNNNNNNNNNNNNNNNNNNNNNNNNNNNNNNNNNNNNNNNNNNNNNNNNNNNNNNNNNNNNNNNNNNNNNNNNNNNNNNNNNNNNNNNNNNNNNNNNNNNNNNNNNNNNNNNNNNNNNNNNNNNNNNNNNNNNNNNNNNNNNNNNNNNNNNNNNNNNNNNNNNNNNNNNNNNNNNNNNNNNNNNNNNNNNNNNNNNNNNNNNNNNNNNNNNNNNNNNNNNNNNNNNNNNNNNNNNNNNNNNNNNNNNNNNNNNNNNNNNNNNNNNNNNNNNNNNNNNNNNUAUAUAUAUAUAUAUAAAUAUGCCUAUUGUUGGUUGGUUCAGAGGUAUCUGGUGCUGAACUUGGUAGGGUGGAUUACGAUCCAAUCCCCCACAACUGCAAAUUGGGUUAAAUAAAAGGGGUUACACCAACUUAUGUACCAGAGCCCCAUGCUCAAGAUCAUAAUCACUAACCGGUCACUUUACUAUGAGUAUGUACGGAUAACGGGCUUAAUGUGAUUGCACCUGAAUGAAAAGGACUUGAAGAAAACGAAAAGAAGGCCUAAGUAUGGUGGGGUAAUGUAGAUUGAUUUGUAGAAACCGCUUGGACCCUCCUUCUCUAUGGUAAUGUUCCAUUCUGGUUCUGGGGGAUAUUAUGCUAAUAUGGCAUGUUACCUUAUGAAUCUCAUGCCCUCGUCUGUCCUUAACAACAAUAUCCCUCACUUAAUUUUGUUAUUUCCUUAUUCCCCCUUCACCCAAUUCCUCCUCGUGUCUUCGAGUCUACAAUAUUUGUUAAAGUAAAUGCUCGUGACGGUGACGGUACCGGUGAUCAAUCAUGGUUCUCUUUCUCUCUCUUCCAGGUUACUCCUACCCUAUCUCAUAUCGAAACACUGGGGACAAUAUUCGAUUUAAGUGUGAGAGGAGAUUUUUAUCGUUUUUAUUGCUUUUCUUUAUUUUUAGUAUGUUUUGUGCAUUUUUAGUUGUUUGCUUUUCAUUUCAAUAAAAUAACAUGUGUUUGAUGAGUCAUCUGUGUAGUGUAUCCGUAUUUCUCCCUUUUCUUUAAACUUACCAAAAUAAUUAUGAGAAAAGAAAACAGUGCAUCUUGAAUAUUCAGGACAUAAGACAGGUUUAUGACGGGAUGUAAAAGACUUGGAAAAACUUUUUCUAAAAAUCGGUAUUGUCUUAACACCGUAGGCUUCAUGAUUACAAGAGUCGAUCCCGAUAUCCCAUAUGCUGUGACCCCAAUUUUUGUUCCAAAUAAGUCCUUAAGUAGUUUAUCCUUGCAGUCAGCUCCGGCUUAAGCAUGCUCUACGUAGGGGACCGAUGAAAAUAAGUGAAUGAUCACAAAAAAAAUUCCUGCUUUGUUCUCAAGUCAUAUGAAAAUUCGGGCUAGGUGACUCUCACACGGUCAUUUAACCCAGUAAAAUAAAGACAUAUGCGAAACAUGCAGAAGAAAAAAAUAAAAUGAAAUAUAUAUAUGCCUAUUGUAAGUUGGUUCAGAGGUAUCUGGUGCUGAACUUGGUAGGGUGGAUUACGAUCCAAUCCCCCACAACUGCAAAUUGGGUUAAAUAAAAGGGGUUACACCAACUUAUGUACUAGAGCCCCAUGCUUAAGAUCAUAAUCACUAACCGGUCACUUUACUAUGAGUAUGUACGGAUAACGGGCUUAAUGUGAUUGCACCUGAAUGAAAAGGACUUGAAGAAAACAAAAAGAAGCCUACGAUCGCAUUAUCCCACCAUAAGUCUUUUUGCCUUGAGUUAACUCUAGUUGAUACUGUUUUACUUGCAUAAACUAUAAAGAGUUUUGCUUGAGGACAAACAAAGGUUUAAGUGUGGGAGAAUUUGAUCACACUGAAUCACACCGUAUUUUUGACUCGGAUUUCACAUGUUUAGUAGGACUUUAUUAUCAUUUUAUUUGUAUUAUGCUCUCUUUUAUGUUGUUUUCAGAUAUUUAGCUCUUUCGGGACACUUUUAGAAAAAACAAAGCAAAAAAACCAAAAUGAGGGUUUUUCGGCAAAUAUUGUACACAUGGCGUUGCACAUGGCGACCGCUAUAGGAGAAACCAUUACUCAUCAGCCCUCAACCAGGAGGUAAUCCGUCACAUCGGGGGGUUAUCUCACUUUAGUGAGAUUGAGUUGGGUCAUUUUUUAUUUUAUUGCUUUUAUUUAUUUUACUUGUCUUGCUUUAUUUUAUUUAAUUUCUGUAUCGCUUUACUUUAUUUAAUUUCUUUCUACGCUUUACUUUAUUUAAUUUCUGUCUACGCUUUACUUUAUUUAAUUUCUGUCCACGCUUUAAUCGUUCUUUACGCCUUACAUUCUAAAACAACUUUUCAUCAUGAUCAAUAUUGUUGUGUUUGUUGGUAUUACCAUGUCUGACUAAAUCUUUUAAAAGUUAGAAUGU
rnacentral:lncRNA from 1 species